rnacentral:lncRNA from 1 species
CAAUGUUAGCUUCAAGAACAUCAAGGGCACAUGUACCGACCCAGUUGCUGUGAAGCUUGCAUGCAGCCCAGGCCUGCCAUGUGAGAAUGUGGAAUUGAGUGACAUUGAUCUCAAGUAUACUGGAGACAAAGGUCCUAUUACCUCUGUGUGUUCUAAUGUCAAGCCUACAAUUACUCGCGUGGCACAGCCUCUUGCUUGUGCUACCGGCGCUGCUGCUGCUUGAUCUAACAAGCACAAACCAUGCUGCUGAUGUUUCUUCAGAGAUACAUUGGUUGUGUGCUCUUCGAUUUUGUGCUAAUUGUACUAGGUGUUUUCAUCUAAGAGGUGGAAAAUAUCUCAGUGCAUUUUUUUGUUACAUCUUAAAUGAGAUGAAUAAAUUAGUAGGUAUUACAUGAAAAUAGACAUGGGAAAGAGAAAGAAAGUUUUAUUUGAUUAAAAAAGAAUGUUAUUGGAAUAUGAAUCUUCUUUGGAUAUUUGUUUAACCAAAUUUACUCAAUUAGCCUCUUUAUUUAAUUGUUUCUGUAUGAAUGACCACCUUGACCAGUGGUGUGCUAGGAAGGGGAAGAGGGAGGGGUGAUUUAGUCCUAUGAUUUUUGUUUUUUAUGCAAGAAUAGAAGUAAAAAACUUCAAACAAAAAAGAAGAAGAAGGAUUAUUAAUUCUUGUAAUGUGUUGAGUUUAAAUGCACUUUAAAAAAGGGUAAAUUGCCGACUACCCCCUUGAACUAUCAUGCUUGUCGAAAUCUCCACCAUGAAUUAAAUUUUCAGCCAAUUUAGCCCUUGUAUUAAAUUUAUUCGCCAACUUCACCCUUGCGGUUAGCUUUUGACAAUUUCCAUCCAAAUCUUUGUUAAAAAAGUACCAUGUUAGACGUAUACUUCAGUGUUGAAUUAAAAAGAGUGCUGCUAAACGAACCCUAAAAUUAACUAAGUACACCUUACUAUUAAGGUAUUUAUUGAAUUACUAAUUUAUCAUAAUAUAAAAUGACUAAAAAGGAUAUAUUGAAUUGCGAAAUAAAUAAUUAUAAAUACACUAUAUUCAACCUUCCCUGUCUAAAUGCUAGAAUAUGAAUCUUAAAAUCAAGGUAAGAUGAUAUGAUAUUUACCGAGCUUUUACAAAUCGCUCUCAUCAAUCCUCUCCUCUCCUCUCUAGCCACAUUAAGGAAUGGUUUUUUUUCUUUUGCUUCUCGUUUUUACAACUAAUAUUCAAUCUUGCAGGAAGGAUGCCUACUUAUCAAGGAUGUCUGUUUCUAUUAUAAACUACGUGAAGGCUAUAUUAAGUCAAUGGCUAUAAACUCAUGGUAUAAACCCAGGGCAUUGAGAAUUGGGCCCGAGUGCCGCCCUUGGCUGUACUCCUUCGUUUAUAAUGGAUCUGGCAGAUGCAAUAUUUUACUAGUCUUAACUUAUAUAUCUUUCUUCUAGUUGAUGGGUUAGUAAAUUCGAUCUUCUGAGUUUCAUCUCUCUGAUAACAAGGAAGCUAAAACAAAAUCAACUAAUUAGACCAAGCCCAUAACCAAGACAUGGUAACCAUUAACAUGUGAAUCAUCGACCUACAAUCUCACUAGCACAAAACCAGGCAAAGCAUUCCAAACCAAACAGGACAGCAAUCCUGGUAUCCUCCACCCUCAGCUCCUGCCUAUUCUUCCAUAGUUGUUUGACAGAAUCAACCUCAGCGGCUUUGGUGGGUUAAGCAGCAAGUUUGGCAGCAAGGUGGGUUUGGUGUUUGUGAUAAAGUGUAUUAGGGUGUACUAGGGGUAUUUUUGGUAGUUAAAUAGGGUGUACUUAGUUAAUUUCACAUUUUGAUUAAAAUAUUAUGGUGUACUUAAAUCAUAGGGUGUACUCAGUUAAUUUUAGGGUUCGUUUAGCAGCACUCAUUAAAAAUUGAUUUUUUUUUUUCCUGUUGUUCUUCAAAGAGCUUGAAUGGGGGAGAAAUAAAUCCCGAGGGUGGGGAAAGGGGGGUGGCUGAGGGGAGAGGGGAUUCUGGUUUCUGCAAAUGGGGGUUGGGAGGAAGUGGGAGGACGGGAGAUGGAUUUGUGGGUGGUGGUUGGUGGUUGGGAUAUGGGGGCAGAAGAAAUCGGGGGAGGGGGUGCUGAUUUAGGGUUUUGCGGGGUGGGGGGAAUGGGGCAAAUUAGAAUUUAUAAAAAAGCUGAAACUAGAAAAAGAACUCCAAGAACCAGCAAAACCCAAUCCUUGUCAAGCUUUAACUUUAUGUACCACACAAAAUUGAGAACACCCAAGGUGGUUCCAACCGUGAAUUCUUCACUCAAUUAAAAACUCCAUUUUUUUUUAUAACAAAAACAUUAUCUGUAAAAUUAUAAAUACUUAUCUGCUAGUAAGCUUUAAUAUAUACUAUGUUAAUUUGGUAGAAAGGGCAUCAUAAAUUAUUUCAACUUUUAAUUACUAUAUGGAAGGAAGUAAUUGGAACUUUUAAUUAUUUCAACACAAUCGGGUGGAGGGGGGGAAGGGGGUUCUGGUUUCUGCAUGUGCAGGGAGGGAGCAAGGGGGAGUAGUCUGUCGGUGGUGGUUGGGAAAUGGGGGAGAAGAAACUGGUGGGAGGUUUUCUUUUUCUCUAUUUGAUUUUUUUUUUACAUUAUUUUCCUUAUUUUUCUUAAUUCUAUACCUUGUAAAAUUUAAAAUUUACCCUUAUAUUUGACGGGCAUUUGGAUGGAAUUAUGAAAAAGCUAACGGCAGGGGUGAAAUUGGGGAAUAAAUUUAAUACAAGGGCUAAAUUGGUUGAAAAAUUAAUUCAGGGUGGAGAUUUCGACAAGCGUGAUAGUUCAGGGGGAAUUCGAUAGUUUACCCUUAAAAAAACUUUAAAAAUUUGCCUUGAACAUUUGUUAUCUACUAUCAUCUGCAUUUUAUAUGCGUGCCGUAUUAAUCAUUCUUUCUUCUUUGGAGAUGUGGAUUAGGACAAAACAAUGUGCCAAUCCCCUUGCAAUAUGAAUCUUCUUUGGAUUUUUGUUUAACCAAAUUUAGUCAAUUAGCCUCUUUAUUUAAUUAUUUCUCGUCCAAAAUAUUUAGUACAUUGUAAAUGUUGUCUGUGAAAGCGAGCGUAUCUUAACAUCUUAGUAACUUUUUGAGUAUGCUAUCGAUUUUAGGCUAUUAAUAGUACUUGGAAAGAAGCAAGCGCAUCCACAACUUCAAACACGGUUAUGAUAGCAAAAGGAAACUACCUGGUUGGUCCAGUGAAGUUUCAAGGGCCCUGCAAAGCUCCGGUUAGUGUUCGAGUUGAAGGAGCCCUGCAGGCUCUUGUAGAGCCAGAAAAGCUCAAGUUAGAAGAUGGUUGGGUCAUUUUCCAAAAUAUUGAUGGGGUAACAGUCUCAGGAGAUGGCACUUUUGAUGGCCAAGGAUCAAUAGCGUAAUCCAAAAGUGAUUGUGCCAAAACAGGAAAAUGCAACUCACUGCCUAUAGUAAGUUUUUUAAAUUUGAAGUGGACCUUCAACAUGUGAUCAUCACCACCCCUGGUGAAAGUCUAACCACAGAUGGAAUCCACAUCCCCGUUGAUGUAUAUUUUCGAACACCUGAAAAAGAGUAUCCAAAAAUUACAAAUUAAAUUACUCACAAGUGAGGAGAGACGUGCUUCAAAUAUUAGGGUUUAGGUUUUUCACGUUCAACCGUCAUUCCCUCAUUAGCCUAACAAUGCUCGUUUUCAUCCAUGUUUAGUCGUCAUCGCCCUCCUCGACUUGACAAGGCCUAGUCAAUUUUCUUCUAUGUCGAGUCGCUACCGUCACUCCUCUCUUCGAUUCUGCUGUGCUAGCCUCGUUGUUGUCUCUCUCAUAUUCUGGGUGUUGGUUUUGUCAUUCACUUUCUCCUCGGUGCGUCAGCGUUUCUGGUGGUUGUCUUAGUAUGGUGGUUUCAGUGGGUCUGCUGCUGCUAUUGUGCCGACAGUCACCAAGUCAACGAUGACUAUGGUGCAAGCCGCUUCGUUGGGGUCGGCGGUCACGGUGGAGGUGGCUUUCCUCAUGCUCCCUCCGUCGUCCGAUCCGCGAUCUCAAGCCUUACCUUCAUGAGAAGACAGCCGUUGUCCAAAUAUUUGGCGUGGGUGGCUCUUCACCUAGGGUCUAUGGUUUUGGUCCCAAUUUUUACGGUGUUGGGCAAGGUUUUUGGCAACUAGGGUUGUUGGGUACCAUCCUUUUACCCAUAUUUCCCCUUUUUUUUUUAUCCUAUUCGGUUCGGUGUUCCGAUUUUCCUGUCCCGAUACCCACCCCUAGUUCUUAUAGAUUAAGAAUAUUGUCCAAAUGGUCAGUGCCAAGCAAAAAUCCCGUCAAAAGUUAAGAUAAACAAUGUGAGGUUUAAGAACAUUAGGGGCACUGCUGCUGAUCCUGUUGUUGUGAAGCUUGCUUGCAGCAAAGGCAUUCCACGCCAGAAUGUAUAAAUUAGUGACAUCCAUUUGACAUACAAUGGGAAAAAUGGUGCUGCCACAUCUAUUUGUACUAACGUCAAGCCUACUAAGACAGGCCAAAUUUUUCCACCUGCUUGUGGAAAGACUGUAGUUUAAUUUGCUGCAACUUUAAGGUGAUUUAAUUGCAUCUUAAAGAGAUGAUUAAAAGGAAUUAGUAGGAAUUUAGACGAAAAUAAUCUGCAGGGCGCCCUUUCCAUGCUUAAUUGGAAUGGUGGGUGGUGGUGGACUACACAUACGUAACAGUAAUGAUGUUAUCUUUUGUAUACAUGUAUUAUGGGUUUAGAUUAAUGUACUAUUGUUAUUCAUGGGAAAGAAGUAGUAGAGAGAUGUUAAAAAAAGUUUUAUUUGAUUGAAAAAGAAAGUUGUUGGAAUAUAAAGCUUUGGAAUUUUUUUUGGAACCAAAUUUACUCAAUUAUUCUCUUUAUUUAUUUAUUUCUUCUUGAAUGACCACCUCGACCAGUGGUGUGCUAGCCAGGAAGGGGUUGGAUGAUUCGUAUAUUCUUAUGUUAUAUAUUUUUUAUAUGCAAGAAUAGAAGUAAAAAACUUCAAAAGAAGAAAGAUUAUUUGAGUAAACAGAUAAAUUUAAAUGGACCAUUUUUAUUUGAGUAAACAGAUAAAUUAAAAUAGACCAUUUUUAAAAUUAAAAAAAUUUUCCUUGAACAUUUGUUAUCUACCACGAUUUGCAUUUUUUAUGCGCCAAUUAAUCAUUCUUUCUUCUUUGCAAAUGUGAGUUAGGUCAGUGUGCCAACAAUCAAAAUACCCAUGAGAGUUAAAACAGGUUUCCCGAGUGUGUUUUGGGUUUCCACAAUGAGUGCAUCCAUUCACGUUGGUCAGAGCCCUUAGUCGAGGAGGUUGUGUAGUCGGGCUUGAAGGUGAGCCAACAACCGUGACAUAGGACUGCAUCUGAAGCGGCACAACGAUAGAAGAAGGCAUCUGGCAGGGGUGACCGGUCGCUAAGGUGUAGCCGACUGGUUGGUGAGUUCCCUUGGCUGCCAAACCAGUCGCAGUCGGUGCCUGAGUGCCCAUCAUCAUAGCUUGUCGGAGAUCUCGUCGGACAUAAGAAUAUGCUUGCUCCACGGUGGGAAAUGGAGCCAUCUGAAGGACAUCACUUCAGGCCUUAUCAAGUCGGUUAUCCAAGCCAUCCAGGAAGAUAUAAGGCUCGUUUGGGAGUGCUUCUUCCCGAAGCGCUUAUGCUAGUAGCGCUUAGGACAUAAGCGCUUCUACAAAGAAGCAAUUUGUCAUUUGGAUGUCACAUUUAAAAGUGCUUUACACUACAUAAAAGCACUUUUGAUAUUUUGUUAAGUGUUUGGCUGACACAAUAAAAGCGCUUUGAUUUAUCUGGAACUCUCCUAAAUUGUGAGUCUUGUGGACUUAUGAUAUCACUAUCCAUGCGACAAACGACAUCUAAAAUUAUCCCACUGCUACAAAAAAGCAAAAAGACGACGGUAAAUCACCGUCGUGUAUUCGAUUUUUCAAUGGUCGUGGAAUCCACCGUCAUCUUUUCCCUCAUAUACCACGACGCUAAAUAACCGUCGUUGUUAAAAUAUACAACAUCAUCAACAAAUACAAAACGACGUCUUUGUACUGCAAAAAGAUCUAAAAAAGCAGUCGAGGAUGAGAAUAGACGACCAACUCUCUAAAACAACCGUCGUUAAAAAGGAAAAAUAUGACACAUAUUAAGAGAACAAGGCCGCAAGAUAGACAUACAACGACGGAAAUAAAAAAACGACGCCGUUAAAUAUCAUUUUCACGACAAUAAAAAAUUUGACGUCUUUAAAUACAUUAGAAGACGACGUUAUUGAUACCUACUACGUCGCAUAUAUAAAAACAGCCGUCGUAAAAUUAAUUUUCCACUUCGAUUUUUCGAUAAAAGAUGACGUGGAAAUAGUUGUCAGUGUCAUUAUUUACGACGUAUGUAUUUAUUGAGUAGACGUUGAAAAACGAAACAACGUCGGUUACAAAUAUAUGAGAGUCAUAUUACAAAAUUUAUACGUCAUAUUUUCAGAAACAAACAACGACGAUAAAUAUUAGACGUUGUUAAAUAAAAUAACGUCGGAAAACAAUAAAAACAGACGUGUUUAGUCUGCUAAAGUUCUAGAAAAUAGUCGAGGAUGAGAAUAGACGACCAACUCAAACAAAUCACCGUCGUUAAAAAGGAAAAAUAUGACACAUGUUAAAAGAAAAAGGCCGCAAGAUAUACAUACAAUGACGACAACUAAAAUUUUACGCCGUUAAAUAUAAUUUACACGACAAGAAAAAAUAUGACGUCUUUAAAUACAUGAGAAGACGACGUUAUUGAAAUAUACUACGUCUCUUAUUUACAAACAACCGUCGUGAAAUAAAUUUUCCACUUCGAUUUUUCUAAAAAAGAUGACGUGGAAAUAGUUGUCAGUGUCAUUAUUUACGACGUAUGUAUUUAUACAGUUGACGUUGAAAUGCGAAACAACGUCGGUGGCAUUUAUAUAGUCGACGUUGUAUUUAUAUCUAUCAUCAUUACUCACGACGCACUUAAUAAUAUAGACGACGUUGAACUUCUAAACAACGUCGGUUCCAAAUAAAUAAAAGCCGUAUUACAGAACAUAUAGACGGCGUUGAUUAUGAUGAGAGCCGUAUUACAAAUAACGUCGUUUAAUUGUUAUUAGACGGUGGUUAUAAUGAAUUUCCGUCGGAAUUCGUUUCGUUCCUCUUCGUUUAUAAAAGAACUUGCGACGUGGAAAAUGUAUGAUGACGUCGUAUUUUUUAACGUUCAGAUUAUAUAUCUCGUUUUUUAGACGUCGGUAUUAUGGGAUUGGAGUCGUGUUAUUUUGAAUUACAUGGCGGUUCUUAAUCCUUCCCCGACGUGAUAUCCUGAAUAAUUGCUUCACAAUUGCGUCGUGGUUCUUCAUUGUUACGUUGCUUUAAGACGUCGGUAAAUAUGCUGAAUAACUGGUUCACAAUAACGUCUUGUUUUAUUUGAACGUAGAAAGUGAAGAAAUCACAUUACAAUAUAUUACAAAAUUAAUGUCAUACACUGCCAAUUACAUAAGCAUCAUUCAAUCCAUAUAUCUUCACACCCAUCUCGAAUAUUUUGACCGCCUAACUCACCCACCAGUUCAUCAAAUGUGUCAACAUUUGGCAUCCCUCUAGUAAAUGGCUCACACUCAAUUAUCACAUCACCUAAGACUUCAUCACCAAUAACAUCAUUAUAUUCUCUAUUAGGCAUUGAUAACACUACCGAGUCCCGACCAACCACGAUGCAUCGGGUCGUCAACAAAAAAUAUUUGUUUGACUUGAGAAGCCAAAACAAAUUGGUCAUUCCUAUGUCCAAUUUUACUCAAAUCUACAAGGGUAAAUCCAAGUUCGUCGACUACAAGACCAGAACUAUCUAUCCAAUCACACCUAAAGACUGGGAUUGUAAACUUUUGGUAGUCAAGGUCCCAAAUUUCUUGAAUGACACCAUAGAAACCCAUAUUUGAGAGAAUUGAGUUUUUAUCCUUGGCACUAGCAACUUGCAUGGUAUGUGCAAGUAAAUAAACUCCACUAUUUUGAGUUGUCCGCACAUCAUCUUGUGCCUUGAUAUUGAAUUUAAUACUUUUAAUAAGAUAGCUCCUAUAUAAUGGCACUGCCAUGUUUGGACCAGCUGCUAGCCACCUUAAAUUUUCUGAUACGCCAUGAUUGUCUUCCUCAAGUUCACUUUGAACCUGCAAAUUAAUCAUAUCUUAAUUCAAUCUAACAUAGAAAUAAGAAGAAAAUUAAAAGAGAAAUAUGUUAUUCAACAACAUAUACCUUGAAGCGUAGCCAUUGAAUGAAAGUGCUAUUGUGCUUAUCCUGCAGCCACUUUGUUCUCUUUCUAAAUUUUGGAUAAGCAGUCUUGAUGUGAAUCAUAUGUUGCCUACAUGACACGAAAAAUUCAAGCAUUACGGUCCUAAAUAUAGAAGAUAAACAUAAGAAAUAAUUUAAAAUGGAAACUUAAAGAAUAAAGCUCAUACGUACUCGAUAUAAGGUAGGACUUCCUCCGUAUUCUCCAAGACAUAUAGAUGUGCUUGAUUCAACAGGUCCUGAUCAACUACGCUCACUGUGCAACCUGAUAAUGGCUUUGAAAGUCCCAUCUUUUGGCUUGAAGGCACUCCAACUGUACUAACAUCAGAUAAAUGCUGAGUACAACACUUUACCGCUUCUUCAGCUAUAUACCGCUCAGCAAUGCAACCUUCGGGACGAGUACGAUUCUGAACAUACCCCUUCAGCACUUUCAUAUAUCUUUCAAACGGAUACAUCCACCUAAAAUAUACUGGCCCACAUAGACGAACUUCUCUGACAAGAUGUACUACUAGAUGAACCAUGAUAUCAAAGAAUGAAGGGGGAAAGUACUUCUCAAGCAAACACAGAGUAACUACUACAUCUUCUUCCAACUUAUCUAGCUUGGAAACAUCAACAGUCUUUGCACAUAUAGCAUUGAAGAAGAAGCACAAACGAGUUAUUGCAUACCUUGCAGGCUUCUCCAAAACAGAACGAAUUGCCACAGGGAGCAAUUGUUGCAUUAAGGUAUGACAAUCAUGUGAUUUAAGGCCAAGAAGUCUUGAAUCUUGUAAAGAUACAAGAUUUUUAAUAUUUGAAGAAUAACCUUCAGGGACCUUCAUACCAUAGAAAGAAUUGCAAACCUCUCUCUUCUCUGCUCUUGACAAAUUCCAAGGCCCAGGAGGCAAACGAGUACGUCUUUCUCCAUACUCGGGUUGCAAAUCAGUUUUGACCCCCAUGUUCAAUAAAUCUAAUCGAGCAGCAAUCCCAUCUUUAUUUUUUCCAGGGAUCUCCAGCAAUGUACCAAUGAUACUAUCGCAAACAUUCUUCUCAAUGUGCAUAACAUCUAGGGCAUGCCUUACAGGAAGGUAUUUCCAAUACUCGAGUUCAAAGAAUAUUGAUUUCUUCUUCCAACAAACUCUGUCACCAUUUUCAACCAUAUGCAGCACUUCUUCUCCGGUUAAUGGCUCGGGAGGUAUGCCAUAUUCAGGUUUCCCAUUAAAAGCUGCACGUUGCCUCCUAUAUGGAUGAUUGAUUGGUAACCAUUUUCUAUGCCCAAUGUAACAAAUUUUGUGGCCAUUUUUCAACCUGUGACUAGGUGUAUCAUCGCCGCAUAUUGGACAAGCUUUAUAUCCUUUAACAACACAACCAGAUAAGUUUCCAUAGGCGGGGAAAUCAUUAAUUGUCCACAUUAAUGCAGCUCUGAGUGUAAAGUAUUCUCCAUUAUGUGCAUCAUACACUCCUCUAAUCCCAACCCACAAGGAUUUUAAAUCAUCAAUCAAAGGCUCCAAGUAGACGUCUAUAUCAUUUCCGGGUUGUUUAGGACCGGAAAUCAAUAAGGUUAACAUCAUGAACUUUCGUUUCAUGCACAGCCAUGGAGGGAGAUUAUAUGUAACUAAGAUAACCGGCCAACAACUAUAUCUGCUACUUAGAGAACUGUGGGGAUUGAAUCCAUCAGAUGAAAGAGCCAAUCUCAAGUUUCUCGUCUCAUUACCAAACUCAGGCCAUUUAUCAUCAAGAAGUUUCCAAGACGGGGAAUCCGCCGGAUGAGACAUCUGACCGUCAAUUGAUUUUCUAGCAGCAUGCCACCAAGUCAAACUCUUAGCUGUCUCAUGUGAUUGAAACAUCCUUUUAAACCUUGGAAUUGGGGGAAAAUACCACACCACCUUCGCUGGCACACCCUCUUUCAAGAUUGAAUCUUUGCCUUCCUUCCACCUUGAGAUACCACAAGUAGGACAAUUAGUUGAAUCCUCAUACUCCUUCAUAUACAAGAUGCAAUCAUUGGGGCAUGCGUGCAUUUUCUCAUAACUCAGCCCCAAUGCACACAAAGUCUUUUUAGCCUCAUACAUGGAGGUUGGUAUUGUAUUUCCUUCUGCAAGCAAAUCGCCUUGAAGUAUCAAUAAUUCUGUAAAAUAGACAUCACUCAUCCCAUGUUUUGCCUUCAAAUUAUACAACUUCACUAAUGCCGAUAACUUCGUGUACUUUCUACAACCAGGGUACACUGGUUGAUCUCCAUCCCCAAUCACAUUGGCAAACUCAUACGGAUCCGAACCAAAAUCACCAAAAUCAUUAUCAUCCAUAUCAAUUUCUUCAGACACAAAACUGUACCUACUAUGGCCAUCAUCUUCUUCAACAUUUCUACUAGCAUUAGUAGUUGCUUCCCAAGGUUCUCCGUGAAAUGUCCAAUUCUUAUAGCUUUGGUCAAUUCCAUUAAAGUAUAAGUGAUCCCUUAUAAUUCCAACCCCAAACAACUUCAAAUUAACACAUUUAACACAUGGACAACGGAUAUGUGUUGUAGUUAGAAGAUUUUCUACAGCAAAGUUCAAAAAUGCUUCCACCCCAAAUUCAUAUGCCUUCGAUCUUCUAUCCGAGUGCAUCCAUGACUUAUCCAUCUUCGACACUAUAACCUAUUAUCUAUAAUAAAGUGAAAAUACAGGCAAUGACCAUCACUAUAGCAGAUUAUACAAUGAUCUAAUCGCAAGUAAUACACAACAGAGACGACGGGUUUUAAACAAAAACAGACGUAUUUGGCAUAUAUAGACGACGGAUUUUCAACAGACGUCGUCUAUUAUAAGUAAUACAAACGACGGUUUAUGAAAAAACCGUCGUGUAUAAGUAAUACAACGACGGUAGUUUAAAAAAACCGUCGUGUAAUCGUCGUCGUAUGCCUUAAAAUUCGUCGUGUCUCAGUUUAUUUUCAAGAACACAAAACCCAUUAAGAACACAACAUAUAUAUGAAACCAAGCAAGAAACCAACAUAUACAUGAAACCAAGCAUGAAAACAAUAAAUCCAUUCCCAAUUCAACAUAACAUAGGGUGAUUAAAAGAUACGACAAAAUUAAAUCCAUUCCCAAUUCAACAUAACAGGAUAAUGUAAUCCAUGAACCCAUUAAACAGAAAAUCCAUGAACCCAUACCUAUAAGCACAUUAUUAACAGAUCGCAAAGCAUACACAUAAAACCCUUUAACAAAACAACCUAAUAUAACUCGAAUCGUUACUAGAAUCAUCACUCGAAUCCCCAUCUUCAUUAUCAGUUUCUUCCUUCGUAGGUACUAUUUGCUCCCCAUCAUUUUCUCCAUAGCGGAAAAUGACAAGAUCAAAUAAAGGUGUACUUUUGCUGGAAAUCAUUUGGAAGUUGGUGAUCUGUGUCUUUUUGUGUUGAUUUUCAGCAAAAGUACACCUUUAUUUGAUCUUGUCAUGAACCCAUUAAACAGAAAAUCCAUGAACCCAUACCUAUAAGCACAUUAUUAACAGAUCACAAAGCAUACACAUAAAACCCUUUAACAAAACAACCUAAUAUCAUUCAAUGAAUUUACAAGGGGAAGAUAGGGUUUGUACUUACAGGUUGGACGAGCUCACAGAUUCGACGGAGCCUGGAGAGUGCAACUUUUAAUUAGAGCAGAAGUGAGAGAGCGAAAUGUUAUGUCGCGCGAAAUCUGAAAAUUUUAGGUUUCAGGGUUCGAAGUAUAAGAAUAAGAGCCAAAUCUAAAAAAAUUUAGGUCGCGCGAAAAUUUUUAGAGUUCGCGCGUUUUAAAACGUCGAAAGAAAAACCAAGGCGAAAGUUCUACACGUACCGACGUAAAUUUAAUAUUCCACGACGGAAACUUCAUUUUUCGGAUUAAGAACGUAAGGCCGUUCAUUUUGAAGCUUCAUUUUUCGGAUUAAUUUUAAAUUUAUUUUGAAUUUUUUAUAUAACGACGACUGAAAAACCACGUCGUUGUUAAGAAAUUAAAGACGUUGUAAAUUAUAUAAACCGACUUACAUAUUAAAAUGACGUCGUUUAAAGCGUAAACCAUGUCGUAUGUUUUUCUGUACGACGUAAAAUAUGUAUUCCACGACGCAACCACCGUCGUUAAAAAUUAAUACCCUAAACCCAUAAAACUAAAUUAUACAAUUUAAAAAAUUAAGUUUAUAAAAGGUUUUAUGGUUUUAAAGCCUAACAUAUACCCUAGACUACCCAAAAAUUAUACUUUAAAAAUAAACCCCAAUAAAUAACAACCCUAAUCUCUAAACCCUAGACUCUAAACCCUAAACCAUAAAACUAGAAGUGAUUUUAUGACUCAUCAAAACAAUUUUGUUUUGGAUGGUCAUUUUAAAUUUUUGUUAUUCAAAAUGAAUUUUUUCAAGGUUUAUGUGGAAGAAAAUAUAUCAAUGACUUCAUAGGAGUUGACUUUUCAAUUUUCUGAUUUAUUUUAAAUUUAUUUUGAAUAUUUUGAUAUAAAAAUAAUAAAAUAUUCUUACCACAACAACAAACCACGUCGGUGUUAAUAAAUUGUAGACGUUGUAAAUUGUAAUAGACUACUAAGUCGUUAAAAUGACGUCGUUAAAAUGAGAAACCAUGGCGGCUAUUUAACUAUACGACGUAAAAUAUAUAUAUCAACGACUUAACCGCUGUCGUUACAUAAACGUCGUCGAUGAUACCCUGAACCCUUAAGAAAUUGAAGAUGUUGUAAACCAUAAACGACUCAAUUGUUCAAAGAACGUCGUCUAACUAUAUUUUUACGUCGUAUUUGUUUAAAACACGAAACAACAAAAUACGACGGUUUUUGACUUUAUUAGGUCGUUGGAAAAGUAUUACACGUCGGUUAAGCAAUUUGUAUGUUUGUUUUUUUUUUAAUUUAAGAAAACCUCAACAAAUUUUUACAUUACAUAUUAUAGAGAAAAUUUGUACAUUAUACAUAAAUAUCAAGUGUUCAAUAUUGCCCUGUUAAUAAUUUGGAAAAACAAACUCUGCCNNNNNNNNNNNNNNNNNNNNNNNNNNNNNNNNNNNNNNNNNNNNNNNNNNNNNNNNNNNNNNNNNNNNNNNNNNNNNNNNNNNNNNNNNNNNNNNNNNNNCCCUGGGCAAUACUGCAUAAACAAUGACUAUUAGGGUUUAUAAAUAAAAAGAAAUUCAAUCACAGACGACGAUAUUUUUCAUAACCGACGUAGUAUAUCCAUUCAACGACGUUAAUUUUACAUGACCGUCGUUGAUAAUACAAAAAACGACGUGAAAUGUAUGAAGGUAAUUUCUUCUUACCUUAUUCUCAAACCCCAAGGAAGGAUCCAUGAUGAUGUCCCUCAUGAAGCGCAUCACAUAAUACCCGCAUUCGACAUUGCUGGGUUGCUUUGGUGUGCCUGAGAGAGUUUUCCAAAUUACAUUUUUACGUCCUGCUCGGGCUAUGUGGGUAUUAUAUAUUUUUAAAGCACUGUUCACGAUGUUUUUCGCCUCUUCGUCGACCACACGAUGACCUGGCAGAGGAUCCAGAAAAUAGACGGUCUCCUUCUUUGCUCUUACAAUCAACAAGAUCCAAUGACGGCUGCACAAAAUUAAUAUAAAAACGACGGUUAUUUACAAAAACGACGUAUUAUAGUAUUUCACACGACGAAAUAAAGUAGAUAACGACGACAUUAUAUAUUUAUCACGACGAUAAAUAAAUACCGACGUGGUUAGUAGUUUCAAACGACUAAAUAAAAUAAAACACCGACGUGGUUAGUUUAUAAGCUGUCAUUUAUUGAAAAUCAUAAAAACAAAAUCCUAAGGAGACUAACCCUGGAUUGUAAGGCAUCAUGAAAAUCUGUUCACCGUCUGUCUUCUGAAGUCGAGCUGCUACCAGUCGUGAUCUUUCAGUUAUUGUGCCAGAGUUGGCACUAACUGUAGCAGGGUCGAUAAAGCCAACCAUGCUGCACAUAUUGGCUUGUUUCAAAACAUCGUGUAAGUACCUAAAUACAUAAAAUAAUAUAAACAAGUCAGCAAAAACAAACACGACGGUUAUGUAUAAAAAAACGACGUAUUAUAAUAUUUCACACGACGUACUGAAAUAGAUAAGGACGUUAUAAUAUAUUUAUCACGACGGUAGUUAGUUAAGACGACGUGGUUAGUUAGUUAAGACGACGCAAUAUAUAAACCAACGAGUUAUUAUCUUAGAAGUACAAACCUCAUAUAUAUAGCCAAUACAGUAGCUCCAAUUUCUUCCAUGCCUGCAAAUUGUGUAAUAUCUUCAGGCAGGAGGAAGGUAUCGCGCUCACCACCAAACACCUCCUUAUCAAUUGUAAAUUGGAGUGUCUUAUCCUCAGGCAGGAGUGUCGUUUCCACAAAACGACAAAGGGUUUUUAAAGAAGAUGGCGCCUCCAUGUUUGAAUAAGCACCAACUUCAAUAACCUGUUUAAAGAAAUAAAAAAAAUGACGUGGUAAUUCAAUAAAGACGACGGUUUAAGGAAUAAAACGUCGUCUUAAAAGGAUUUAAACGACGGUGAAAAAACUGUCGUGGUAAUUCAAUAAAGACGACGGUUUUAUUAAUAAAGCGUCGUCUGAAACCAUUUAAAUGACGGUGCAAAAACCGUCGUUUAAAUAUUUUAUUACGUCUUAAAAAAAGUCCGCCGUCUAAGUUUUAAACAAACGACGGAUUAAAUAAAAAUAUCGACGUCUGAAAUUUUGAAAAACAAAUAAAAAAGGCAAAGUUAUGUGAACAUACCUUGUCGUCAUGCUUUUCUUCAUCUUCUUUCUCCUUUUCUUCUUCCUUCUCUUCAUCUCUUUUUUCUUCUUCCUUCUCUUCAUCUGGCUGAUGUUUCCCCAUUUUGGCAGUAUCAUCCUCCAAAUGUAGGGAUCUCACAUCACCUCCAGAGCAGCCAGCUUUGUCAGACAUUGGAUUUUUGGGGCUUUGGCUAAUUCUUGGUUUAAGCAUGCUUGGAUCAAAAUUGGGAAUUAAUUGGGAAAGCUGACUCAGGAAAUGCUCCCUCUCAGCCUCUACCAAUUGUUUUGUCCUAGCCUCCAUCCUUAAGGCCUCUUCCCUUGCCUUAGCCUCCAUCUUUUUAGUCUCUUCUUGAAGGAGAACUCUUAAACUGUCCUUCAAACGGUCGUCAAAGCUUACCCUCUGUGGUUUGGGCAAAUUGAAAUAUUGCCUUGGGGAAACACCAGCACCAACUCCCCUCAGUCUGCCUGGAUGCUCGGGGCCCAAAGCCAUGGUCAGCACAUCAUUGCUGCCAUCUACUCUGACUUUGCCUUCCGAGACUUGUUUCUGCAAUUCAUCCUAAAAAAGAUAAACAAAAAAACACACGACGGUUAUUUAUGUACAAACGACGUAUUAUAUAAUUUCACACGACGCAAUAACGUAUAAACCGACGUUAUUAUAACUUAUCACGACGGUAGUUAUACCGACGUGGUUAUUUAUUUAAAACGACGAAAUGAAUAAACAACCGACGUCUUAUGCUAUAAUUAAAGAUAACAGAGUAGUGAUUCCUAUUUAGACCGUUAACGACGUUUUUAAAAAAGUUUCGACGUGGUAAUAUCAUUCACACGACGCGAAAAUGAACCACCGACGUCUUAUGCUAUAAUUACAUAAAACAUAGUAGUGAUUCCUAUUUAGACCUUUAACGAUGUUUUUAAAAACUUUUCGACGUGGUAAUAUCAUUCACACGACGAAAAAUAUAACAUACGACGUAAUAAGAAUAAUUCACAGUUUAAUAAAAAUUUAAAACAGAGUGAUAGUAGGCUUACAAUUAAUUUUGCUUUCUCUGCCACCUUUGGAUCAGGGAUGUUACCAUGUUUGUCCUGUCUAGCUCUCUUCCAUAAGGUAGAUCGAUCAAUUUCUACCCCAGGCAUGGUUUCCUCCAAUUGAUCCUCCAAUCCAGCAUAUCCUUUUCGAGACAAUCGAUGAUUGUACUCGAGUUUCUCCCUAAUCUGUGCAUGUUGAGAAUGCACAGACUCAAAAUCUUUGGAUAGCCUUGAAGCUACAAAGGCAUCCCAUUGUGCUUUCUCUAUGAAUUUAUAUGUUUCAGGGGGUUGGCUUAAUUUCUCCCUGUCAUUGGUGUAUGGAAGGAUAUAAUGCCUUGUUAGUGUAGACUUGAAAUCCUUCCAUUUCUUGGAAGCAGAAGCUAAAACAGAGGUCUUGCCCCCUUGGCCUACGACAAAAGCCAUGUCAACUGCUUCCCAAAUCUGCUCCUUUAUAUCCUUGGGGAUUUGGGACCAUUUCUUGUCCACAAGUGGGAUCCUGGAGCGUGCCAACACACCAAUAUACGACUGCAUCUCAAUAUGUGCUUGGCCAACACCUUUCCCCCUUUUAUUGUACUCAACAAUUGGCCUCAGUUUCUGAAGCUUUCUCUUCACAACACGAGGCAUUGUGCUCAUACCUCGACCAGUCUUUGAAUCAUCAGAGAUUGUUGUCUGGCUGGUUUGUUCUGUCUCAGCAGAUGAUGAAGCAAACUUCAUCUUCUUCGAAGACUUCAUCUCCUUCGAAGACUUGUCUUGAGGAGCUACCAUUCCAAGCUUCUUGGAGCCAGAAUCCUUAGUUUGUUGUUGAGAAACCAUUUUAACAGACAAAACUGCAAGUGAAAAUAUUUCAGGAGAACAUUAAGAACACAAACGACGGUAUUAAAAAAAUACGACGUAUGAUAUGAUUUUAGACGACGCAAUGAAAUAAUCUCAGACGUAAUAAAUGUUUAAAACCAUUAUUUAUAUAACGUCGUGGUAUAUAUGUUCACACGACGUCAAUAGUAAUACACCGUCGUGGUAAACUAUUAUUUAUAUAACGUCGUGGUAUUUAUGUUCAUACGACGUCAAUAGUAAUACACCGUCGUAGUAUUAACAUUCACACGACGUAAAACAAUAAGAUAUUUUGUCGUCUAUAUUAGAUACCAACCCUAGUUUCUUUUUCUUUAUAUUUUAUCAAAUAAGGGAAAAACAAAAACCAUUGUUCAGCGAAAUCAAACCUGCAAUGAAACAAGCAUAUAAAAAAAGACUAUUAUUUUAAAAACAACUUUGUCAAUUUUCAGACGACGCUAGAACAACUGACGAACCGUCGUGGUCUACCGUCGUCUUAUUUAGUUGAUGUAGUUGUCUUCAAAGUUGGAAACUUUCUCUCUUUGUCUGUAUAUUUUAUCAAACUUGGAAAGAAGUAAAAUGAUUUUGGCCAGAAAAAAGGUAAAAAGAUUUUUCAAACAAAAAACGUAUGAGCAUGCAAAACAGUAACCAAAAUAGUGAAAAUGAAAGCUUACCUUUUGCGUGCAAUGAAAGCAAGAGGAAGAUGAUCGAUGUUUAUGUUCAGAGACGACGAAGAAGACGAGAGGAAGACGAUGAGAAACUCUGACAAUGCUCUGACAAGGAAAAAAGACGAAAAGGUUUCUCUGGGAGAUUGAAAUUUUUAAUCGGGUUUGGAAACAGUGCAUGUGUAAGUCGAAAAGUUGCUUACAUAUAAAACCAUUUCAAAAAAAUAAUACGGCGGUUACAUUUAACUACGUCGUUUUUAAAUAAAACGACGCAAUAUUUUUCAUUCGACGUGGAAUCAUUUCAUUUAACGUCGUUAGGUUUAAUAUAACCGACGUGGAUUUUAAUUUUUAAAUUAUGAAUAGAAUUUUUUUUCCCGUGACCUUUCAGUUUAUUUUUCAAUUACAGUGCGUUAUAAAUAGAGUUUUUUUUCCGGAGAAAAUUUAAAACGAAGGAAAUUAAUAUUCUGCAAUAUGUAAAGUUUCUUUUUUGGAUGACAGAUUUAAAUAAAAUAAGAAUAUAAAAACAACAAAUGUGUAAGUCAAGUAGACGAAAAGUUGCUUACAUAUAAAACCAUUUCAAAAAAAUAAUACGGCGGUUACAUAUAACUACGACGUAUAAAUUACAAAAUACGACGGUACAUUUAACUUCGGACGUGGUAAAUAAAUACGACAGUAGUUUGUAGGUACCGUCGUAGUAAACUCAAAAAUUAAAGUACAUAAGUAAUAACUCGCGUCAUGGUAGAUUAUUUAACACGUCGUUUUUAUUAAUUUACCGACGUGGAUUUCUGUAAUAUACGUCGAUCAUACCGACGUUGAUUGUACAAUUUAAACGGCGGUUUUUUUUGUAAGGACCGCCGUUGGUUUUAAAAAUUUAUUCUAUAAAUUUGUCGCUUUCAUUCAUUUUCGGUUUACAUUUAAGGUUCCAAGUUCUUCCUCUCUUAGUCUCUCAUGUCUCAAAGACAAUAAUUUGGAUGUUUUCUCAAAGAGAAAUUGAGCUUACUCGCAUCAAAUAUAUGUCCACAAGAAGAAGCUUGUCAACUAGCCUUCUCACUUCCUUGAUCAAGCCUGAUAGGACACUUAGUGCUUCUGAAUACUCCUUGCUUUCCAUCAAAAGAGAUGCAAGCCUGGCCUCCACUCGCUGUCGAAGGAAAGUUCGCUUCUCAGGGAAAUCUGAAGAUCAGAUGUGCCUGAUCCUCUGCUUGAUUUUCUUGCCUAAGAAGAUCCGUCGGAUUUAUUGUGAUAGCCUCUUCCUUUAUCCGUAGAGCUUCAGAAGAAGAAGAUGGGUUUCAAGAAUGCGAUAAAGAAUAGAAAUGGCUUCAGAUGGCCUCUAAAGCAUGAGCAAUUGAAUCAGUAGUUUCUGGGAGAUAUGAUGAAGACAUUGUCAAUGCUUUGAACUACACAAGUCCUGCAGAAAGAUAUGUUAAAGAAACUGAAACAACGGCGGUUUUCUGUUCUACCGUCGUCUUUUCUCGUCGUCUAUAUUAGGGUAAGAUGGCGGUAGAUUUAUAAUUACCGACGUAGAUUAUUUUGUUAAACGUCGUUAAGUGUACUACAACGGACGUGGAUUUUAUUUUUAAAUUAUAAAUAGAGUUUUUUUUCCCGUAUUCUUUCAGUUUUAGUUUUCAAUUACAAAGCGUGAUAAAUAGAUUUUUCUUUCCCGAGGAAAUUUAAAAUGAGGGAAAUUAAUGUUCUAGAAUUUGUAAACUAAACGACGCAAUAUUUGCAAAUCUGUGUCAUCUGUUAAGAUUAUGAUGUGGAACAAAGUUCCAUCUGGUAAGAUUUCGUAACCCUUGGGAUCUCAGACAAAUCUGAUUAUGUCGGCGGUGUUCUAUAUAAACCGUCGUGGUUAUUUCAAUUCUUGUCAUUAAGUAGAUCUACCGACGUAGGAUAAGAAAAUCAAAGAAAAAAAUUGUUAACAAAAAUUCUUAUUAAGACGACCGUUAAAAUUAAAGGUACGACGUAUAAAAUGAAUAAAUACGACGUUAAAUUUUAUUGUACGAUUUAAAGAUAACGUCGUAGAACUAUACGAGAAUGACGUCGAUAUAUUUAUAUUUUCCGUCGUUGUAAAUUAAUUUAAUACGGCGAUAUUUUGUAUUUUAAAGCCGUGGAUUUGUUUGUAAUUAUACGGCGUCUUAUACGAAAAUCUCGUCGUGUUAUUUUAUGAGUAAAAACGGCAGUUUUUAUUGAAAUCGUCGUCUUUACUUUCUACGUCGGUCGAUUCAUAACUUCUGCCGUUCUUUGUUGGCAUUGAUUUUACACUGCAGAAAUCUGUUUCAAAUAGACGUCGGUUGUUUAAUUAUGUACGUCGUUGUUUUUGAACAGCCAUUUGAAACUCCAUUUUUUAGUUGUCUAAGGUUGUAUUACACGACGGUGUUUCUAGAACCGUCGUCUUUUUAUAAACCACGACGGUUUUCACUUAGACCGUCGUUGUUUUCUGGUCGUCUUUUUCACUUUUUGUAGUAGUGUCCCCAACCCCUUGACACCAUCCCCACCAGAAUGUUGAAAUUGGACCAUUCUAUUAGUGAAAGCACUGAAAAAUGCAAUGCAUUGCCAUAGUGCAACCCAGAACACAGCUUCUUUCUAAAGUCGAUACAAAUUGAGAGGGAGUGCUUGGUGGCACUCUUUGGGGGUUUUGAGCGCGCAAUGCUCGUCCAAAACACUGCAGCCAACAAAUCAAAAGGGUUGGCUUCAGGGCAAGUUUUGUGGAUUUGUGAGAGGCCUUGCUUGAUCAUUGCACUGGAGAAUUUGAAAGUGGUUGUGCUCAUUUUCUUUUCUGGUAAAGGGGUCUUUGCUGCCAUAGACUUGGCUUCAUAAUAAGCCUCUGCUGAUUUUGUUUUUAUUAUGUCUUGAUCAACGGGUCUGCCUCCGAGGGCUGAUGACUCCCCGACGAGAAGCAGGUGGGCAAAUUCAUUUAUCUCCAAAACCAGGACUGAUUCUUAUGUUAAUGCUUUUUUAAUCAAGUUUGGUGCUACAUAUAAUAAUGUUUGUUUUCAAUAAAAUCGAGCACACAAUAUUAUAUAAGCAAGAGGCAUACAAGAAUGCAGAACUCAUCUCCAUUCUCUAGCAAGAAAGAGAGAGGAAAAAAGAAAGAAAGGGUAUUUUGGCAUUUAAAAAAAUUAAAUAUAGGUAUUUUCGGUAUUUUAAAAGUUUCAUUAAAGGGAGCCAAGUGCUUCCCGUGUUUUUGUGCUGCAGCCCUUUUAAGAAGAAGCACCUUUCAAGUGCUUCUUCCAAAACCACUCCAAGUGCUUUUGGAUCUCACCCAAAGCACUUUUGCAAUUUUUGCCAAACACCAUUUUUAAAAGAUAGAAGCGCUUUUCGUUGCUCCAAAAGCACUCCCAAACGAGCCUAUAAACACAGUCUUCCUAGAGAAUGUCGUUGUACUGUUGGAUAUCAGAGUCACACUACAUCCUACUCGGACGACGGAAGUGUAUGUCUUGCCACAAGCCUUGAAGAUUAUUGUAAUAAGUUUCAAUCGAGCCACCUGCUUGUCGCAAUCGUUGACUUUGCUGUUUAAGGUCGUACACCUGAGGGGUGUACGUGCCAUCAAAGUAGAUCGUGGCAAUCGCAUCCCAUAUUGUUUUUGCCGCAGGAAAUCAAAUAAAGGUGCUAAUCAAGCGAGGGUCCAAAGAAUUGAUUAGCCAGCCUUUCACAACUGUGUUUUGGGUGCGCCAUCAGUUGAAACUCGGGUUGGUUUGAGUAGGUGUCCCAACUUGUCUUUGCCGGCAACAUACAUCUCGACAACUUGGGACCAAAGGGGGUAGUUGGAGCCAUCCAACUUGAUUCCAAUAUGUGCUGAAGCUUCAUAGGUAAUAGUUGGGGUCGGGUAUACCAUGCUAAAAUAUGAGAACCUAUGAGUGAAUAUUGUUUGUGGGAAUUUUCUGUGUAUUCUUGUCCAUGUAGGAGGCCAUAUUUAUAGUACAAUAUAUAUCCUUGUAGGUUAAGGAACGUAGUAACCCCUAAUUCAAUUUACAGUAGGAAAUCAUGAAUUAAAGUGAAUCAAUUACAUUUAAUAUAGGAAUUUUUGGCUUGUGAGAAAAAUAAAUGCAGGUCCACAAGUCAUGCGAAUAUAUACAACCAUACUAUUUUUCAAAUUUGUAUCAACUUUCUCACAUGGAAGAUGUCUACAACUUUUACAAAUAUUAAUGAGUGUCAUUAGCUAAAUAAUAUACAGAUAGAAGUUGCACAAAAACAUCGUUUGCAACUAAUUGAUGGCUCUUCCAACGAAAAAGCUUAUAGUUAGAGGGGAAAAGAAACAAAAAAGCUUACCUUGGACAAAAGUAGAUAGUAAUUUGGUUUGAUAAUGUUAGUGGUGCGGUUGUAAGCUUCCAACCGAACAAUAUAUAAAUUGGGUCGAAACGAAAAUGGAGUACAUAAAACUUAACCCACUUUUAAUCAUUCUCAACAUCACCAUUUACUUGAUCCACCAAACAAGGCUCCUUCUGUUCCAUUAUUCGAAAUCUCAAACUUGACAUAACCACAAUCAACCCUCAAUAGCAUUCUCUCUCUCUCUCUCUCUCUCUCUCUCUCUCUCUCUCUCUCUCUCUCUCUCUCAAUCUGUUCCACCCAAAAACCAUGCCUUGCUAAAUAAGAAUUCAAUAGUGAGGGCCUUAUAUCUAAGGCCCUUAUAUGAUCACUUAGCUGUUAGAUCAAAUUGGUUAGCCGUUGGAUCAAAUUGGUUAGUUUGAUCUAACGGUUAAGAGAUAUGACUUCAUGGCUUUAAUUUGAGUUGUGGGUCCAGUCAAACAAUAUGGGUAGAAUAUUUUUCAGGUUGUAUUUCAUUCUCCAAAAGAAGGUAUUUAUAGUAUAAGGAUGUAACCCUAGUAGGGUCAAACUAGAAAACAAGAUAAAGACCUAAUUACACAAUAUCUGUACAAAAAGGAAAGAAAUAUAAUCCUAAUAAACUGUGAAAUAAAUAUCCUAAUUAAGCUAGGAUCUCGCUAACACUCCCUCUCAAGUUGGAGCAAAGAUGUCACGUAUGCCCAACUUGUCAAGCGUGUUGAGAAAGGCCGUAGUAGACAUAGUUUUCGUAAGAACAUCUGCUAGUUGAUACUCGGAUGAUAUAAACGGAAAAGAAAUAAUUUCAGCAUCCAAUUUCUCUUUAACAAAAUGUCGAUCAACCUCCACGUGCUUUGUACGAUCAUGUUGCAUAGGGUUAUGCGCAAUUGCAGUUGCAGCUUUAUUAUCACAAUACAAAUCCAUGGGUUUAGGGGAAGAGAGAGAGAGUGUGUGUGAUGGUUGUGGGGUGGUGGCUGUGGGAAGGUGAGUUGUUGAGAGAGAGAUGGAGACUGCGAUGGAUAAAUGGGUGGUCGUGGGUUUGGGGGUGUGUUGUGAAAGGGAAGGCAACGACGGUGGGGAAGAGGGAUGGGUUGCGAAUUAGUCUUGGGGGUGAGUUACAGGUGGGGAAGGGGUGAGUUGCAGGUGGGAAAUGGGUAGUCAGGUUGGGGAAGAAAAAGAGAGAGGGGAUAGGGGAUCUGUAGGUAGGAUAGGUUUUUGUUUUUGUUCCUUUUUCUUUAAUUUUUUCUAAAAAAAUAAAUUUAUUUUUAAUGUUUUAACUGAAAAUUAGAUGAAAUGUUAAUGAUUUAGACGGUAGGGGGGAAAUUGGUGAAAAAGUUCAUAUCCUUAAUUUUGUAAAAAAAAAAAGGAUAGUGGGUCAAUUAAAACCAAGGUACAAGUUCAAGGGGCAAAUCACUAGUACACCCUUCUUAAUACAAUACCCUAUAAAAUGUCAAAUUUACCCUUAUAUUUGACAGGCAUUUGGAUGGAAUUGUAAAAAAGCCAACAGCAGGGGUGAAAUUGGCGAAUAAAUUUAUUACAAGGGCUAAAUUGGCUGAAAAAUUAAUUCAGGGUGGAGAUUUUGACAAGCAUAAUAGUUCAGGGGGGAUUCGAAAGUUUACCCUUAAAAAAAGUUAAAAAUUUGCCCUGAACAUUUGUUAUCUACUAUCAUUUGCAUUUUUUAUGCACGCCAUAUUAAUGAUUCUUUCUUCUUUGUAGAUGUGGAUUGGGACAAAACAAUGUGCCCAUAACCUUGCAAUAUGAAUCUUCUUUGGAUAUUUGUUUAACCAAAUUUACUAAAUUAGCCUCUUUAUUUAAUUAUUUCUCUUCUCAAAUAUUUAGUACAUUGUAAAUGUUGUUUGUGAAUGCGAGCGUAUAUCUUGACAUCUUAGUAACUUUUUGAGUAUGCUAUCGAUUUUAGGCUAUAAAUAGUGCUUGGAAAGAAGCAUGCGCAUCCACAACUCCGAACAUGGUUGUGAUAGCAAAAGGAAACUACCUGGCUGGUGCAGUGAAGUUUCAAGGGCCCUGCAAAGCGCCGGUUAGCGUUCGAGUUAAAGGAACCCUGCAGGCUCUUGCAGAGCCAGAAAAGCUCAAGUCACAAGAUGGUUGGGUCGUUUUCCAAAAUAUUGAUGGGUUAACAGUCUCAGGAGGUGGCACUUUUGAUGGCCAAGGAUCAAUAGCUUAAUCCAAAAAUGAUUAUGCCAAAACUGGAAAAUGCAACUCACUGCCAAUAUUAAGUUUUUUAAAUUUGAAGUGCACGUUUUUAUUUAUUUAUCAAUCUUGUGUGCUAGAAACGGAGGCUAACAAACAGAGUUUGCUCAAUUGGGUUCCUUGAAUGCAGAACAUAAGAUUCACAGGGCUCACCAAUUCACACAUUCAAGACAUAACAUCCUUGAACAGCAAGCUGUUUCACAUAAACGUCAUAAACUGCAAAAAUGUGACACUUGAACAUGUGAUCAUCACCACCCCUGGUAAAGCAUGCCUUAGAUAAGGCCCUCACUCAGUUCUUAUAAACGAGGCUAGGUCCCUUAACUUUUCAAUGUGAAUAUAAAACGAAUUUUCAAUAGUUAUUUCUCUUGUCACCACUGCUUUGUUACAACUUAUGGUCAAGAAUUUAUUAGUUUGAUUAGUGCGUUAGGAAACCAUUUUUGGUUUAUGAAAAAUAAAUUUUGUGUGUGUAUUUUUUUUUUAAUCUUUGCACCAAAUUGGAUGACAACAGGUUUAGUACUUUUGGUUUAUGAGUCACCCAUGUCAUAAAUCUUCUCUUUCUAAUCUGACAUAGUCUUGGAAGAAAAAAUCUUUUGCCCAAAUUGGAAACUGAGCGAAGAGCCAUUGUAGGUAAUUCAUGUUCUAAAGCUGAGCAGCUUAAUUAAUUACUAAUUAUAGGAUGGUUGACCAACAUUCAUGUUCUAAAGUGCGAGAAAGUUGAAUUCAACGGAUUUACCGUCUCAGCACCUAAGGAAAGCAUGAACACAGAUGGAAUUCACAUCGGUCGUUCAACUGGGAUCAACAUCACUGCCACAACCAUCGGAACUGGGGAUGAUUGUAUUUCGAUCGGUGACGGUACCAAGGACCUCACCGUGACCAACGUUACUUGCGGGCCUGGCCACGGCAUAGCCAUCGGGAGCCUUGGAAGGUACCCAAAGGAAGAACCCGUGUCCGGCAUCAAUAUUAAGAAAUGCGCACCUUGACUGAUACAACGAAUGGUGUGAGGAUCAAAACAUGGCAUGCUUCCCCAAAAGAUAGCACUGCCUCGGAUAUUCACUUUGAGGAUAUUACCAUGGUUAAUGUUGGUAACCCUAUCCUCAUUGACAAAGAGUACUGCCCAUGGAACGAAUGCAAAAAAGGGGUAUCUAUCUAUAACAAUUUAUUAACACCGUAUAUAUGUUCCUUGUUAAUCAAGUCAUCAUUUACUUAAUCUUUAAAAAGUUUUAAAUUAAUCAAUUAAUGAAUGGUUUUGUGUAGGUUCCUUCCAAAGUUAAGAUCAGCAAUGUUAGCUUCAAGAACAUCAAGGGCACAUGUACUGACCCAGUUGCUGUGAAGCUUGCAUGCAGCCCAGGCCUGCCAUGUGAGAAUGUGGAAUUAUGUGACAUUGAUCUCAAGUACACUGGAGACAAAGGUCCUAUUACCUUUGUGUGUUCUAAUGUCAAGCCGACAAUUACUCGCGUGGCACAACCUCUUGCUUGCGCUACUAUCAGUGCUGCUCCUGCUCCUGCUUGAUCUAACAAGCACAAACCAUGCUGCUGAUGUUUCUUCAGAGAUACAUUGGUGUUGUGCUCUUCGAUUUUGUGCUAAGUGUACUUGGUGUUUUCAUCUAAGAAGGGGAAAAUAUCUCAGUGCUGAUCACGAAGGCUGGGUUCAGGCCAACUGCUUGAAGGCUUCUGAAAGGGGCACUUUGUCAGUGCUAUGCCUACUUCUCAGAAGUCGUGGAGGAAUCGGGGGUGCUUUUGUCCGGCGAUUGGGUGUCUCCAUCGGGACAGCCCGUCCGUUUCCACAUCCCUACGACCUUCCAAAUUGUCGGUAGGUCAGAUUACCGAUUGGUAGGUGGCCAAUUGCUUUCUUUAUGAUUUAAACCUUAUUUUGUUUCUGUUUUUGUAGGCAAACAAAAGCAACCGAGCCCCACGUAAUCAGAGAUUCAGCAGGUUGAUAGAGUUAGGUUGAAAGUCCCUACCAUUGGGAGGGUGUACCCCAAGUUUUUGUUCACCGAGAACCUUAUCGAAGCCAAACUUGCCAGCCAUGUUGAGAGUAAGUGGACUUGUUUUUGCGUUCUCAUUCAUAUUAUAUCAAUGCCUUACCGAUCUCCUUCUUGUGCAGUGACGGAUGCCAGAAGAGCCGCCAAAGCCAAGAGGAUGAAUGAGUCCUCAAAGAGGCGCCUCAUGAUGGGCAUUGAACGGAAGAAAAGAUUCGGCAUGUGGAGGCAGUGCCAGUUCCGUCGGCUGAGGUUGAUCUAGAGGAUUAGACCCUUGCCGACCGUCUUCGGCAGCUCAACGUCGGGUCGGAGCCCAGCGGUGCAGCCGAGGCUAAUUUGGCAUCGAGAAGAGUGCUAACCACCGAGGCCGCUGCUUUCUAGGCAGCCAGAAAAAGGCCGUUUAUGGUAGACCUUGAGGCAGAGCUAGUGCCAAAGCGCGGUCGGCAGAUGGAGGAGCAGAGGGCUGUCUUGGCUGUUGAGGACGAUGACAAUCCUGCCGAUCCGGUCACCCUCACAUGCCAAUCGAAGACACUCCAAUUUGCGAAUCAUGUGAUCCUUGGUUUGCAAAUGGAGUUGUCGGAGAUAGAGGAGCUACCGAAGAAACUCCUUCGGGAAGAAGCCGGUCGAGCCUUCCGUCUCCAGGCCUCCGUAAGUUUUUGUCUUGUUUUUAUUUCCCACUGUGCCACUGUUGGCUUCUUAUUGUGCUGACCUUUUGCUUUGCUUUCCAGGCGUCGAUGGACAUGUGACUGUGCAUGAAGCGGGCCAUCGUCGCUGCCGAGUGUGCCAAGAAAGCAUACGACGAUGGCUGUGCCAAAGUAGCCGAGGCAGGCAAGGCUCUCCAGGACCACGCUCACAUGCUGAAGGAUAAGCAGGCUACCAAACGGCAAGUUCAGGCUUCUGAGGCCAAACUGGGAGAGAUGAGAGUGGCUCUUGGGGCUGCGAUGAUGGCGGCAAGGGAUGCCGAGGCGGCUAAGGAGGCGGUGUAGGUGGCCUUGGAGGAUUUCGAGCAUUCUAAGGUGGCAUAAAUUGAAGCUGUUGUUCGGGAGGGUUCCAUGUUGCUGUGAGAGGUUACCAUUCAUCAGAAGAGUUCACCGUCAUGCUAGACAGGGAAGUGGGCUCGGAGAUGGCUGAUCUGCUCUACAGAUUCAAACGGUACAACCCCGGGCAGAAGCUGAACUUGAACUUUAUUGCCGAUCCUCCUCCCCUUCCUGAAGGUAUUACCAAGAGAUGAUCGAGGACUAUGAGGGGGAGGACGCUCCGGAAGAAGCCUGUGCUGUCGGGGUCCCCGCUACUACCGACGUUGCGAAUGAGGAGGCUACCGCUUGAGCUUUAGCCUCAUAGCUUUCUUUAUAUAUUUUGUAUCUGCCAUAAGGCAGCUCUUCUGAACACGUUGAUGCCGAGGGCAUCUUUUAAUUUUGUUUAAUAACUUGUCUAACGACCAAGUGAUCACACUGUCGGUAGAUUUUAGAGUUUAAUCAUCUUAAUUGCUGUGGGCUAAAUGAAAGAUUGACUGCCAAGUAACUUUCCAACGGUAAGGAGACUUAAGUGUUUUUCAUUGACGAAGGCUAAUAAAGGAUCUACUUGCAAUUGGCAAGUGCAGGUAGGAUCGGUAGUACCGAACUCCAGCUUAUCUGCUGCCGUAGGCUAAGUAAAUGCUUAAUUUAUAAGCGUAGGGUAAUACAUGACCGAUAGUCUCUACCGUAUCUUUUUAAUUAACGAAAAAUAAAUAAACACACCGAAGGUUGUGAAUAUGUAUAAGCCGAAGGUUUUUUCAUUAACCGUUGCCGAAGGCAUGAAUACAGGUUCAUUGUAUUACAAUUUCGCCCUACCGUAGGCUAGGUGACUUCAUUUAAAAUAGUAUUUCAAAUGAUCUACGUUCAUAGGAUGACCGAGGGUUUUGCCGUUGGAGUCUCUUAGCCGAUAGGUUCUCGAUCGAAGGAUGCCGAUAAUCUCAUAAGGUCCCUCCCAGGAAGGUCCGAGUGUCCCUUCCGUAGGAUUCUUGGUUGCCAGAAAGACUUUUUGCAUGACCCAGUCCCCAAUUCAGAAAGAGCAGGUUCUGAGCCUUAAGUCGUAAUACUGAGAGACGUGCUGUUUGUAUGCUUCAUUCCGAAGGUUGGCUUGCGCUCGACGUUCUUCGAUUAAGUCGAGGCUUAGUGCGAGGGCUUCCUCGUUUGUCUUCGGAGUGAAGCUUGCCUUUCGGUAGAGGGCUUGCCGAUCUCCACGGGGACCACGGCUUUAGAGCCGAAGGCGAGAGAAAAAGGGGUUUCUCUGGUUAACGUUCGGUAGGAUGUCCGAAUGGCCCAUAGUGCUUCCAGAAGUUUCCUUGGCCAAGUUCCCUUGGCUUUGUCGAGCUGCCGUUUUAGCAGUUUCUUAAUGAUUUUGUUUAUUGCUUCGACCUGAUCGUUCGACUGGGGGUGAGUUGGCGAAGCGAAGAACAAAUUGAUCUUGAGGCGAGUGUAGAAUUCCCUAAAGAGUUUCGAGUCAAACUGCCUGCCAUUAUCGGUGAUGAUUGCAUAGGGGACAUCGAAUUGGCAGCAAAUGUGAGUCCAGAUGAAGUCUUCCAUCCUAGCUGCCGUUAUGGCUGCCAGAGCUUCGACCUCCACCUAUUUGGUGAAAUAGUCCACAGCAACCACGACAUACUUGACCUGGCUUUUGCCUUGCGGCAUUGGACCGAUCAAGUCCAGUCUCCAUUGGGCGAAAGGCCACGGGCUUACGAUCGGUGUUAAAGGCACGGCAGGGAUGUGAGGUAUGUUGCAGAAGCGUUGACAUUUGUCGCACCUCUUUACUAGUGUGUUUGCGUCCUGGUGCAUAGUCGGCCAAUAAUACCAUUGUCGAAAGGCCUUAUGUGCGAGCGAUCGAGAUCCAGAAUGGUUGCCACAUACGCCCCCGUGGAUUUCAAGAAGGACGUAGUCCCAUUUUUUCGGUGAUGAUGUGUUUCAGAUACAGUGUAAUAUAGGUGCGUUUGUAAAGGACGUCGUUGAUAACUGUGUAUCUUGCCGAUCGGUACUGCAGCUUUUGGGCCUGUGACUUGUCGGAGGGCAGUGUACCGUUUGUUAGGAGACCGUAGAUGAGAGACAUCCACUUGUUUUCGUACCGUACGGUACAUACCUCCGAAGUUGUCGUACUAGCUUGAGAUAGGAUCUCCACCGGCACCUUUCUGCCAACCUUGUUAUUGAUUGUCGAAGCUAGUCAUGCCAGUGCAUCGGCAUGACUGUUUUUCAUCCUGGGGAUUUGCCGAAUCUCAUAAGCCUGAAAUGCUUUGAGGAGUCAGUGUGUGGUUGAUAGGUAGGCUGUCAUGGAGGCAUCCCUAGCUGCGAAGUCUGCCGUUAUGUGAUUCACUAUGAGCUGGGAGUCACUAUGGAUGUUGAUUUGUUUUGCACUCAUGAUCUUGUCUAGCCGAAGGCCGGCCAAGAGAGCUUGAUAUUCAGCUUCGUUGUUGGAGGUUCUGAAGUUAUAUCGGAGGGCAUAUUCGACCUUGGCUCUGUCUGGAGUAGUUAACACCAGACCAGCUCCACAACCUUGUUCAUUUGCCGAGCCGUCGACAUGCAGAAUCCAUAUGGGAACAGAAGGGUGGAAGUGUUCGGCGGGUUGUGCCUGUGGUGUUGGGGUUUCGUCCCUGGGGUCGUAAAUGGGCCCGUUACCGUUCAGUGCCCCCAAGACAAACAUGGUCUCCUUGGGAGGUUUAGUGGCUACUGACCUUAGUGCCGUCGCAUAGCAUGUUCGUGCACUGAGUUGAUCUCCUCUGACAGCGCCUAUGCCGUUGUACGUUGGGAAUUUCAUCAACAACAUAUGGGGGGACAUGUGUGCCUUGAUUCUGGUAAGCGUCGUUCGUCCGACUAUGACGUUAUAUGCCGUUGGGUAGUUGACGAUAAGAAAUUGGUCAUAUGUCAUUGUUUUCCAAGGGGCAACACCGAAGGCGAUGGGUAGACUGACACUGCCGACUGGCUGGACCAGAUCCCUGGAGAAACUAAGUAGUGGUGUUAUCUGCCGAUUGACCUGGCUAUCGGCUACUCCCAUUCCUCUGAAAGCAUCGGCGAAAAUUACAUUUACCGAACUCCAGUGUCGAUCAGUACCCGUCCCACAUCGUAGUCAGCGAUUUCAACUCGAAUGAUCAUUGGGUCAUCAUGGGGGUAAAUGAUCCCUUCUUCCUCUUCACAAAAUGUGAUGGGUUCCCACCCUACCUUUGGAACCUUGCGGUGUCGAUCAGCCUCUAUGCCGAAGACUUGAGGGUAGUGCGCAGCCCGUUUAUAUUGUUUUACCGAUCAAUUGGACAUACCCGCCAGUGUGGGACCUCUACUGAUGGUGAUGAUCAUGUUGAUCUGUCGAUUCCCGUUCGGCACCGGUGCUUGCCAUAGUCUGGCGAUGUACUGAUCCAGCUUCCCUUCACGAAUUAGAUGUUCGACGAUUUUUGUAAAGACCCAAACCUAAAAUUCACAUGUAAUUAGUAAUUUAUUAUGCAGAAAGACAAUUUUGCCCUUUGACUCACUUAUGAACUCAACGUUGACUUUUUGACCGAAAAGGAAUUUGACAAUUCCACAUACACCGUUGUGUAGAGCACGACGAUACGAGUUCAUAGACACGAAGUAAGCUCGAAUCGGAGUUGUAACGAAGAAAAUACGAUUAAAAUAUCACGAAGGGCAAAAUUGUAAAUAAGAAAAUCAGAAUUUUUAUAAAAACCUCAACUUCUCUUUCUCUUUCCCUCUCUCUCUCUCUCCCUCCCGAUAGUUCUAGAAAACCUGUCGGGCAGCCACCUUCCAAGCCACCCCAACGCCACCUCACGCCACCCCGACCCAGCAGCACCGGCCAGCUCCCGCCAUCAACCCCAGCCCGUCCGCCGCCCCUGCUGCUGUCUGGAGCAUCCGGAAACUGCUGGAAAACGCAGCAGUUUUGGCAGAUUUUCCAACCUCAGUUUCUCCCUCAUCCGGCCACCAAAUCAGUCGUGCGAGGUAUCGAUUUCUAGCUAUUUUUCGUGUUCUAACUGCUGGUUGGCUGGGUUUCGAUCAAUUUUUGCUGUAGAUCACUCGAUUUUCAAAUUGAAAUUCGGCCGACUUUCGGCCUCCGUGUUCGGCCAUUUCCGGCCACUUUUUGGGGUAGGUCCAAGAACAAAAGUGACGCCAAAUGGGGUGUUUUACCUAGGAUAGGAGUUUGGAGUCUUGGUUCCGAGAUUUUUCGGCCACUCGGUAUCGCUUUAGACACCCGAAUCUGCCCGCGCGUGCUGGGGCGCGUGGGCGAGGGUGGUGGAGUAACUCUGCCGGGUUUAAUACUGUUGAGCCGUUGGAUCGUAAUCAAUUUUAGAUAUGUUACUCUAGAUAAUUUUAGAAACGUGUAGGAUUCGACGGAUUGUGAAUCGGAGACCCGGAUACUCCGAAAACGCGAACCCUAGGGCUAGGGUUUAGAAAUUACAGGAUUGUGAUCAAUCCGACCGUCCGAUUGACACCAAUACCUUCGGGACAUGUGUCCUAAAUAUAUUGGACCUUCUAGCGGCAUCCGGAUCAUAUUAUACCCGUGGGGUUCCGGAUUGACUUUUUGGACUUUAGCACUUUUUGAGUCACAAGAUACCGCUAAACGAUCCCACGUGGAAGGAAAGCUGUUAUGGGCAUAGGGAUCACUUUAAAUUGACGCACGUACUUUUAGGAGCCGGGGGUAGGGUUUUUAAUUUAAUACUAUAUUGUAUUAAUAGAAUAUUAUGGUCAUUGAAUCAGGCACCCGGGCACCAGUUGACCCGCAGGAGGGACCUUCAAGAGGUCCAGCGAGCUCAGACUAUCAGUGAGUGGACUCUUUGUUUUUAUAAAUGAAUUUAAUCAGUUCAGUUUCAGUUAAGCAGUUCAGUUUCAGUUAUAAGCUGUUUUAUGUUGUUAAAUAUUUUAUGUUACAUGCUGCCGAAUGAAGUUUCCUUUUAAGAAUAUAGGAAAAGAUAUUCUCGUUAAUUAUCAGAUAAAUGGCAGCAGAAUUUUAAAGGUUACAGAAAGUUAAUUAUUCAUAAGAUUUUCUUCAGAAACUUUAUAUUUUCUUAAACCACCUUGUACCCAGUUAUCACAUGUUGCCUUCGGAUUAUAUUUGUUGCCUUCGGUUUAGUCAGCAUGCUUGACAGUUGCCCCACGAGUUCCUUGGUACUCGACCUCGUGUGGAGCGAGUAAUGCGGAUAAAGGUUGAUUGCGGUCUCCUGAAUCCUGCGAGUUGCGGCUCAGACUGACCUCGUGUCACUGAGACCUGCGAGUAUGUGUCACCCAUGGUGAUGCAAGGAAUUGACGGAUAUAAGGAUUUGACGGAAAUAGGUGUACACCUAGGUGAUAGUUUUCAACUAUUUUCAAAUGUAUAGUUAUAUACAUGCAUUGAUUUCAGAAAUAAAGAAAAUAAGCUAGUUUGUAUAACUGUUUUUUCAGUGGGGUUAGUAUGUUCAUAUGGUAUUUUCUAAACUUUGUUUUUGGGUCCACUCACCCUUCUUGUUGUUUUGCGCCCCCAGGCAGUAGACGUGCACAGGAAUCCACCACCGGGCCACUUCCCAUCUUCCGUGCCUUUCUUUGAUGUAGGAUUUGUAUUUUGUACAAAGAUUAACUCUUUUGUAAAUUCUUAGUAGUCGCUCUGAUGUUUUGCCCUAGACUGAGCUUUGAUCUCUUGGCAUGUGUAUAUAUAUGUAUGCUGGCAGUUGGUUAUAUAUAUAUACUUGUUUUGACAGGUGUAAAGAUUUUGGUAUUGAGCCAGAUACAAGGGAAACUCUGCCGGUUUUUCGGUAGAAGUCAACCUUGUUAUUUUUAUCAUGUUUUGUAUAGAAGGGCAAAUAGGUCAUUUGUGCCCGACAUUCGCCAGGUGUCGGACACGCACAGGGUCUGGCUCGGAUUCCAAAGUGGAAUUUGGAUCGGGUCCUGACAAUUUUCCUCAGGCUUAUGCACUCUUCAGUGUCAUGACUGUUGUGCUGGUGGUAUCGGCAGAAUUUGCCGGUAUCCCGAUUGUCCUGUCGAUUGGGCUUUCGACGGUUCGGCUUGGGUAUUAUCUCAUUUUCGUUCAUCAAAACGGCCUCGUAGGUGGUAUUCAGCAGGGUGAAUACUUCCUGACCGUGGUCGUAAUUCGGUAAGGGCGCUCGGUGGUCAUUGUGACCGUAUUGUCCUUUUCCUUUCUUUGAGUGCCCCUGUCGAGCAUCUCGGUCAUCUUUCCAUUUGUUCCCUGUCGAGAAUUCUCCAGUUCUUUUAGGGUUUGGGAGUGCUUCUUCCCGAAGCGCUUAUGCCAGUAGCGCUUAGGACAUAAGCACUUCUACAAAGAAGCAAUUUGUCGUUUGGAUGUCACAUUUAAAAGUGCUUUACACUACAUAAAAGAACUUUUGAUAUUUUGUUAAGUGUUUGGCUGACACAAUAAAAGAGCUUUGAUUUAUCUGGAACUCUCCUAAAUUGUGAGUCUUGUGGACUUAUGAUAUCACUAUCCAUGCGACAAACGACAUCUAAAAUUAUCCCAAACCACCUUGACACCAUCCGCACCAGAAUGUUGAAAUUGGACCAUUCUAUUAGUGAAAGCAUUGAAAAAUGUAAUGCAUUGCCAUAGUGCAACCCAGAACACAGCUUCUUUCUAAAGUCGAUACAAAUUGAGAGGGAGUGCUUGGUGGCACUCUUUUGGGGGUUUUGAGCGCGCAAUGCUUGUCCAAAACACUGCAGCCAACAAAUCAAAAGGGUAGGCUUCAGGGCAAGUUUUUUGGAUUUGUGAGAGGCCUUGCUUGAUCAUUGCACUGGAGAAUUUGAAAGUGGUUGUGCUCAUUUUCUUUUCUGGUAAAGGGGUCUUUGCUGCCAUAGACUUGACUUCAUAAUAAGCCUCUGCUGAUUUUGUUUUUAUUAUGUCUUGAUCAACGGGUCUGCCUCCGAGGGCUGAUGACUCCCCGACGAGAAGCAGGUGGGCAAAUUCAUUUAUCUCCAAAGCCAGGAUUGAUUCUUAUGUUAAUGCUUUUUUAAUCAAGUUUGGUGCUACAUAUAAUAAUGUUUGUUUUCAAUAAAAUCGAGCAGACAAUAUUAUAUAAGCAAGGGGCAUACAAGAAUUCAGAACUCAUCUCCAUUCUCUAGCAAGAAAGAGAGAGGAAAAAAAAGAAAGAAAGGGUAUUUUGGCAUUUAAAAAAAAUUAAAUAAAGGUAUUUUCGGCAUUUUAAAAGUUUCAUUGAAGGGAGCCAAGUGCUUCUUGUGUUUUUGUGCUGCAGCGCUUUUAAGAAGAAGCACCUCUCAAGUGCUUCUUCCAAAACCACUCCAAGUGCUUUUGUAUCUCACCCAAAGCACUUUUGCAAUUUUUGCCAAACACCAUUUUUAAAAGAUAGAAGCACUUUUCGUUGCUCCAAAACAACUCCCAAACGAGCCUAUGAACACAGUCUUCCUAGAGAAUGUCGUUGUACUGUUGGAUAUCAGAGUCACACUACAUCCUACUCGGACGACGGAAGUGUAUGUCUUGCCAUAAGCCUUGGAGAUUAUUGUAAUAAGUUUCAAUCGAGCCACCUGCUUGUCGCAAUCGUUGGCUUUGCCGUUUAAGGUUGUACACUUGAGGGGUGUACGUGCCAUCAAAGUAGAUCAUGGCAAUCGCAUCCCAUAUUGCUUUUGCCGUAGGAAAUCAAAUAAAGGUGCUAAUCAAGCGAGGGUCCAAAGAAUUGAUUAGCCAGUCUUUCACAACUGCGUUUUGGGUACGCCAGCGGUUGAAACUUGGGUUGGUCUAAGUAGGUGUCCCAACUUGUCUUUGCCGGCAACAUACAUCUUGACAACUUGGGACCAAAAGGGGUAGUUGGAGCCAUCCAACUUGAUUCCAAUAUGUGCGGAAGCUUCAUAGGUAAUAGUCAAGGUCGGGUAUACCAUACUAAAAUAUGAGAACCUAUGAGAGAAUAUUGUUUGUGGGAAUUUUCUGUGUAUUCUUCUCCAUAUAAGAGGCCAUAUUUAUAGUACAAUAUAUAUCCUUUGUAGGUUAAGGAACGUAAUAACCCCUAAUUCAAUUUACAGUAGGAAAUCAUGAAUUAAAGUAAAUCAAUUACAUUUAAUAUAGAAAUUUUUGGCGUGUAAGAAAAAUAAAUGCAGGUCCACAAGUCAUGCAAAUAUAUACAACCAUACUAUUUUUCAAAUUUGUAUCAACUUUCUCACAUGGAAGAUGUCUACAACUUUUACAAAUAUUAAUGAGUCUCAUUAGCUACACAAUAUACAGAUAGAAGUUGCACAAAAACAUCGUUUGCAACUAAUUGAUGGCUCUUUCAACGAAAAAGCUUAUAGUUAGAGGGGAAAAGAAACAAAAAAGCUUGCCUUGGACAAAAGUAGAUAGUAAUUUGGUUUGAUAAUGUUAGUGGUGCGGUUGUAAGCUUCCAACCGGACAAUAUAUAAAUUGGGUCGAAACGAAAAUGGAGUACAUAAAACUUAACCCACUUUUAAUCAUUCUCAACAUCACCAUUUAUUUGAUCCACCAAACAAGGCUCCUUCUGUUCCAUUAUUCGAAAUCUCAAACUUGACAUAACCACAAUCAACCCUCAAUAGCAUUCUCUCUCUCUCUCUCUCUCUCUCUCUCUCUCUCUCUCUCUCUCUCUCUCUCUCUCUCUCUGUUCCACCCAAAAACCAUGCCUUGCUAAAUAAGAAUUCAAUAGUGAGGGCCUUAUAUCUAAGGCCCUUAUAUGAUCGCUUAGCUGUUGGAUCAAAUUGGUUAGCUGUUGGAUCAAAUUGGUUAGCCGUUGGAUCAAAUUGGUUAGUUUGAUAUAACGGUUAAGAGAUAUGACCUCGUGGCUUUAAUUUGAGCUGUGGGUCCAAUCAAACAAUAUGGGUAGAAUAUUUUUCAGGUUGUAUUUCAUUCUCCAAAAGAAGGUAUUUAUAGUAUAAGGAUGUAACCCUAGUAGGGUCAAACUAGAAAACAAGAUAAAGACCUAAUUACACAAUAUCUGUACAAAAAGGAAAGAAAUAUAAUCCUAAUAAACUGGAAAAUAAAUAUCCUAAUUAAGCUAGGAUCUCGCUAACACUCCCUCUCAAGUUGGAGCAAAGAUGUCACGUAUGCCCAACUUGUCAAGCGAGUUGAGAAAGACCAUAGUAGACAUAGUUUUCGUAAGAACAUCUGCUAGUUGAUACUCGGAUGAUAUAAACGGAAAAGAAAUAAUUUCCGCAUCCCAUUUCUCUUUAACAAAAUGUCGAUCAACCUCCACGUGCUUUGUACGAUCAUGUUGCAUAGGGUUAUGCGCAAUUGCAAUUGCAGCUUUAUUAUCACAAUACAAAUCCAUGAGUUUGGGGGAAGAGAGAGAGAGAGUGUGUGAUGGUUGUGGGGUGGUGGUUGUGGGAAGGUGAGUUGUUGAGAGAGAGAUGGAGACUGCGAUGGAUAAAAGGGUGGUCGUGGGUUUGGGGGUGUGUUGUGAAAGGGAAGGCAGCGACGGUGGGGAAGGGGGAUGGGUUGCGAAUUAGUCUUGGGGGUGAGUUGCAGGUGGGGAAGGGGUGAGUUGCAGGUGGGAAAUGGGUAGUCAGGUUGGGGAAGAAAAAGAGAGAGGGGAUAGGGAAUCUGUUGGUAGGAUAGGUUUUUGUUUUUGUUCCUUUUUCUUUAAUUUUUUUCUAAAAAAAUUAAUUUAUUUUUAAUAUUUUAACUGAAAAUUAGAUGAAAUGUUGAUGAUUUAGACGGUAGGGGGAAAUUGGUGAAAAAGUUCAUAUCCUUAAUUUUGUAAAAAAAAAAAAAAGGAUAGUGGGUCAAUUAAAACCAAGGUACAAGUUCAAGGGGCAAAUCACUAGUACACCCUUCUUAAUACAAUACCCUAUAAAAUGUCAAAUUUACCCUUAUAUUUGACGGGCAUUUGGAUGGAAUUGUAAAAAAGCUAACAGCAGGGGUGAAAUUGGCGAAUAAAUUUAAUACAAGGGCUAAAUUGGCUGAAAAAUUAAUUCAGGGUGGAGAUUUCGACAAGCAUAAUAAUUCAGGGGGGAUUCGAAAGUUUACCCUUAAAAAAAGUUAAAAAUUUGCCCUGAACAUUUGUUAUCUACUAUCAUCUACAUUUUUUAUGCACGACAUAUUAAUGAUUCUUUCUUCUUUGUAGAUGUGGAUUGGGACAAAACAAUGUGCCCAUAACCUUGCAAUAUGAAUCUUCUUUGGAUAUUUGUUUAACCAAAUUUACUAAAUUAGCCUCUUUAUUUAAUUAUUUCUCUUCCCAAAUAUUUAGUACAUUGUAAAUGUUGUUUGUGAAUGCGAGCGUAUAUCUUGACAUCUUAGUAACUUUUUGAGUAUGCUAUCGAUUUUAGGCUAUAAAUAUUGCUUGGAAAGAAGCAUGCGCAUCCACAACUCCGAACAUGGUUGUGAUAGCAAAAGGAAACUACCUGGCUGGUCCAGUGACGUUUCAAGGGCCCUGCAAAGGGCCAGUUAGCGUUCGAGUUAAAGGAACCCUGCAGGCUCUUGCAGAGCCAGAAAAGCUCAAGUCACAAGAUGGUUGGGUCGUUUUCCAAAAUAUUGAUGGGUUAACAGUCUCAGGAGGUGGCACUUUUGAUGGCCAAGGAUCAAUAGCUUAAUCCAAAAAUGAUUAUGCCAAAACUGGAAAAUGCAACUCACUGCCAAUAUUAAGUUUUUUUAAAUUUGAAGUGCACGUUUUUAUUUAUUUAUCAAUCUUGUGUGCUAGAAACGGAGGCUAACAAAUAGAGUUUGCUCAAUUGGGUUCCUUGAAUGCAGAACAUAAGAUUCACAGGGCUCACCAAUUCACACAUUCAAGACGUAACAUCCUUGAACAGCAAGCUGUUUCACAUAAACGUCAUAAAUUGCAAAAAUGUGACACUUCAACAUGUGAUCAUCACCACCCCUGGUAAAGCAUGCCUUAGAUAAGGCCCUCACUCACUCCUUAUAAACCCAGGCUAGGUCCCUUAACUUUUCAAUGUGAAUAUAAAACGAAUUUUCAAUAGUUAUUUCUCUUGUCACGACUGCUUUGUUACAAAUUAUGGUCAAGAAUUUAUUAGUUUGAUUAGUGCUUUAGGAAACAAUUUUUGGUUUAUGAAAAAUAAAUUUUGUGUGUGUAUUUUUGUUAAUCUUUGCACCAAAUUGGAUGAUAACAGGUUUAGUACUUUUGGUCUAUGAGUCACCCAUGUCAUAAAUCCUCUCUUUCUAAUCUAACAUAGUCUUGGAAGAAAAAAGUUUUUGUCCAAAUUGGAAACUGAGUGAAGAGCCAUUGUAGGUAAUUCAUGUUCUAAAGCGGAGCAGCUUAAUUAAUUACUAAUUAUAGGAUUAUUUUAGGACUCAAGGACCGGCCAAAAACUAGUCCACGCGCGGCCACACUCACCGGCAGCGCGUGGGUGUCCAAAGUGAUUCCGGCAAUCGGAAAAUCUCCAAACCGCCGGUCAAGACUUAUACCUACAUGAUCUGCACAUAGAGUGGAGCAACUUUUGAUCAUGGACCUACCCCCAAAAAGUCGACGGAAGCGGCCCGAAUCGGAGGCCAAAAUCCGGCCAAACUUCCAUCACUUAUUUACGUCUCAAAACGCAGAAAUUUCUCGUAACCAAUACAACCAGCAGCUAGAACACCUCGAGAGGUUGAGAAAGCAUACCUGGAUCGACGGAAAUGGUGGCCGGAAACGUUCAAACGAGCGUCAGAAAAUUCUCAUAAAAACCUCCCAGUUUUCUGGUUUUUUUCGGCCAAAACCGGAGGCUGGGCUGGGGCGGGGCUGGAAGAGGAAGAUGUUGCGGUCCUUUUGGGACCAGUACCGCCCCAAGUGGUGGCUCUAGAUGCCACUGGCUGGGAAGAAAAAUCCAAGAGGGGGGGGGGGGUGGUUGUUCUGUAUCACGAAAACAGAGAGGAGAGAGAGAAAGAGAGAGAGAGAGAGAGAGAGAGAGAGAGAGUGUGUGUGUGUGUGUGUGUGUGUGUGUGUGUGUGAUAUCAGAUUUUUAAAAUACCCUUUUUCGAAAAAUGUAUGAUUUUGCCACUAUAUUUUUCAUCGUAACUUCUUUGUUACAACUCAGAUUUGAGUCCACUACGUGUCUACGGACUCAUCUCGACAUGCUCUACGCAAAAGUAUAAUUGAAAUCCCCAGAUUCCCUCCCAAACAAAAAGUCAACUUUAAAUCAUUAAAAUAUUUCAGGGGUAAAAUUAUCUUCUAUUUGAAUAAAUUAAUAAUUAAAAAUUAAUUUGGGAUCGGGUUGUUACAUGCUACAUAAGAAUUCUAUAGUGAGGGCCUUCUUCUAAGGCCCUUAGAUGAUCUCUUAACUGUUAGAUUAAAUUGGUUAGCCAUUGAAUCAAAUUGGUUAGUUUGAUCCAACGGUUAAGAGAUAUGACCUCAUAGCUUUAAUUUGAGCUGCGAAUCCUACCCUGGAAACAUAACUUGAGCUGCGAUCUGAUUCCAUCAUUAAAUAAAUGACGGAUAUGAAUAUUUGUCCAUCUGUAAUAGAAAUUACAUUAGUAGGAAUGUAAAACGAAACAUCUCCCGAUUGGGUCUCAACUAUUGGUAAAGCAUGCCUUAGAUAAGGCCCUCACUCACUCCUUAUAAACCCAGCAUGGCCCCUUAACUUUUCAAUGUGAAUAUAAAACGAAUUUCCAAUAGUUAUUUCUCUUGUCACGACUGCUUUGUUACAAAUUAUGGUCAAGAAUUUAUUAGUUUGAUUAGUGCGUUCGGAAACAAUUUUUGGUUUAUGAAAAACGAAUUUUGUGUGUGUAUUUUUUUUGUUAAUCUUUGCACCCAAUUGGAUGAUAACAGGUUUAGUACUUUUGGUUUAUGAGUCACCCAUGUCAUAAAUCUUCUCUUUCUAAUCUGACAUAGUCUUGGAAGAAAAAAUCUUUUGCCCAAAUUGGAAACUGAGCGAAGAGCCAUUGUAGGUAAUUCAUGUUCUAAAGCUGAGCAGCUUAAUUAAUUACUAAUUAUUGGAUGGUUGACCUACAUUCAACUUCUUAAUUGGCCAAAUAAAUAUUAACGGUGUUGAGCUUUCCGAUGGGAGUAUAAAUUGGGCUGAAAGCAAUGGAGUUUCAUCAUACUCCAAACAAAAAGGAAAUAACAAAGUCUCAAGAUGGGUUUGAAACUGAAAAAUGUCUUGCCAAUGUUUGUGUUCUUGUUGUUAGCAUCCACAGCUAAAGCUCAAUCUGCUGCCUUAGAUGUGACAAGUGAAAAAUAUGGUGGAAAGCCAGACUCUGAUAUUACCCAGGUAACAAAAACAUUUGUAUUCAUAUUCGGUUCUGAUUAGAAUUUGUUUCUACAAUUGUUUGCCAAACAAAAUCGUUAACAGUUUUAAAUUUGCGUAAUGUUAAUUAGGCUUUAGAGAAGGCUUGGACAGAUGCAUGUGCAUCAACAGCACCAAGUAAAAUUGUUGUUCCAAAGGGAACAUUCAAGUUUGUAGGAACAACUUUUAAAGGUCCUUGCAAGGCUGCUAUUGAGUUUCAGCUCCAAGGAACAUUGCAGGCUCCAGUAGAUGGCAGCCAGCUCCCGAAGGACGACACUUGGAUUGGUUUCGACAACGUCGACGGGCUCACCUUGUCAGGUGGUGGAACUUUUGAUGGCCAAGGAGCACAGUCUUGGAAAAACAAUGAUUGCAACAAAAAUAGACAAUGCAAAUCUAAACACAUUGUAAGAUGAUUUAAUCCUACCAUGUUGUUUUAUAUACUUGAAAAUCUUCUUGUGUCACAUAGGAGCAUUUGCGAAAUCAUGCUCAUUGAUCAAUUCUUGACUUGAUGAUACGUGAUCCAGAUUCACAGCCUGACAAUAUAAACAUAUUUCAUUUGUUUUCUUAAUAUAUGCAGAAUUUGAGGUUCCACUUACUCACCAAUUCCAAAAUUUUGGACGUAACUUCAAAAGAUAGCAAAAAUUUCCACGUCAAUCUUUUGAAGUGCGAGAAAGUUGAAUUCAACGGAUUUACCGUCUCAGCACCUAAGGAAAGCAUGAACACAGAUGGAAUUCACAUCGGUCGUUCAACUGGGAUCAACAUCACUGCCACAACCAUCGGAACUGGGGAUGAUUGUAUUUCGAUCGGUGACGGUACCAAGGACCUCACCGUGACCAACGUUACUUGCGGGCCAGGCCACGGCAUAGCCAUCGGGAGCCUUGGAAGGUACCCAGAGGAAGAACCCGUGUCCGGCAUCAAUAUUAAGAAAUGCACCUUGACUGAUACAACGAAUGGUGUGAGGAUCAAAACAUGGCCUGCUUCCCCAAAAGAUAGCACUGCCUCGGAUAUUCACUUUGAGGAUAUUACCAUGGUUAAUGUUGGUAACCCUAUCCUCAUUGACCAAGAGUACUGCCCAUGGAACGAAUGCAAAAAAGGGGUAUCUAUCUAUAACAAUUUACUAACACCAUAUAUAUGUUCCUUGUUAAUCAAGUCAUCAUUUACUUAAUCUUUAAAAGGAUUUAAAUUAAUCAAUUAAUUAAUGAAUGGUUUUGUGUAGGUUCCUUCCAAAGUUAAGAUCAGCAAUGUUAGCUUCAAGAACAUCAAGGGCACAUGUACCGACCCAGUUGCUGUGAAGCUUGCAUGCAGCCCAGGCCUGCCAUGUGAGAAUGUGGAAUUGAGUGACAUUGAUCUCAAGUACACUGGAGACAAAGGUCCUAUUACCUCUGUGUGUUCUAAUGUCAAGCCGACAAUUACUCGCGUGGCACAGCCUCUUGCUUGCGCUACCAGCGCUGCUGCUCCUGCUUCUGCUUGAUCUAACAAGCACAAACCAUGCUGCUGAUGUUUCUUCAGAGAUACAUUGGUUGUGUGCUCUUCGAUUUUGUGCUAAGUGUACUUGGUGUUUUCAUCUAAGAGGGGGAAAAUAUCUCAGUACAAUUUUUGUUACAUCUUAAAAGAGAUGAAUAAAUUAGUAGGAACUAGAUGAAAAUAAUCAUGGGAAAGAGAAAGAAAGUUUCAUUUGAUUAAAAAAGAAUGUUAUUGGAAUAUGAAUCUUCUUUGGAUAUUUGUUUAACCAAAUUUUCUAAAUUAGCCUCUUUAUUUAAUUGUUUCUGUAUGAAUGACCACCUCGACCAGUAGUGUGCUAGGAAGGGGAAGAGGGAGGGGUGAUUCAAUCCUAUGAUUUUUAUAUUUUAUGCAAGAAUAGAAGUAAAAACUUCAAAGAAAAAAGAAGAAUAAGGAUUAUUAAUUCAAGUAAUGUAUUGAGUUUAAAUACACAUUAAAAAAAGUGUAAACUGCCGAAUACCCCCUUGAAUUAUCACGCUUGUCGAAUCUCCACCCUAAAUUAAUUUUUCAGCCAAUUGAGCCUUUAUAUUAAAUUUCUUCUCCAAUUUCACCCUUGCCGUUAGCUUUUGACAAUUUCCAUCCAAAUCUUUGUGAAAAAAGUACUAUGUUAGGCAUAUACUUCACUGUUGAAUUAAAAAUUGAUUUUUUUUCUCUGGUUCUUCAAAGUGCUUGAAUGUGGGAGAAAUAAAUCGGGGGGAGUGGGGGAGAAGGGAUUUUGGUUUCUGCAAGUGGGGGUUGGGAGGACGGGGGAGGACAUGGGAUAUAUCUGUGGGUGGUGGUUGGUUGUUGGGAUAUUGUGGCAGAAGAAAUCAUAACGAGGGAGAAGAAAGCGGGGGAGGGGGUGCUGAUUCUGGGUUUUGCGGGUUUGGGGGAAUGGGGGAAACUAGAAUUUAUAAAAAAAAAGCUGAAACUAGAAAAGAACUCCAAGAACCAGCCAAACCCAAUCCUUGUCAAGCUUUAAACUUUAUGAACCACACAAAAUUGACAACACCCAAGGUGGUUCCAACCGUGAAUUCUCCACUCAAUUAAAAACUCCAUUUUAAUAAAAAAAUUAUUUCGACUUUUAAUUACUAUAUUGAAAGAAGUAAUUGGAACUUUUAAUUAUUUCAACACAAUCAGGGGAGGGGGGGAAGGGGGUUCUGGUUUCUACAAGUGUGGGGUGGGAGGAGAGGGGAGUGGUCUGUAGAGUGGUUGGGAAAUGGGGGAGAAGAAAUUGGUGGGAGGUUUUCUUUUUCUCUAUUUGAUUUUGUUAUUACAUUUUCCUUAUUCUUUGGGUAAAUUACUCAAAUGGUCCUCAAACUUAUACUCGAUUUGUAUUUUGGUCCCUCAAUUAAAUUAUUCGUUCAAAUGGUCCAUCAACUCUAUAUUAUUCGCUCCAUUAUUCCUACCGUUACAUUCUGUCAAUAUUUCUGUUAAAUAUGAGGGAAAAUUGGUCAUUAUUUACCCUAAAAUUAGGUUAAAUCUAACAGAAAAUUAGACAGUAGGACCAUUGGAGCUAAUAAUAUAGAGUUGAGGGACCAUUUGAACGAAUAAUUUAGUUGAAGGACCAAAAUGUAAAUCAGUUAUAAGUUUGAGGACCAUUUUAGUAAUUUACCAUUUUUCUUAAUACUAUACUUUGUAAAUUUUCAAAUUUACCCUUAUAUUUGAUGGGCAUUUGGAUGGAAGUAUGAAAAAGCUAACGGCAUGGGUGAAAUUGGCGAAUAAAUUUAAUACAAUGACUAAAUUGGUUGAAAAAUUAAUUCAGAAUGGAGAUUUGACAAGGGUGAUAGUUCAAGGGGGAUUCGACAGUUUAUACCCUUAAAAAAACUUAAAAAUUUGCCUUGAACAUUUGUUAUCUACUAUCAUUUGUAUUUUUUAUGCAAGCCAUAUUAAUCAUUCUUUCUUCUUUGUAGUUGUGGAUUAGGACAAAAAAAAUGUGCCAAUCCCCUUGCAAUAUGAAUCUUCUUUGGAUAUUUGUUUAACCAAAUUUACUCAAUUAGCCUCUUUAUUUAAUUAUUUCUCUUCCCAGAUAUUUAACAUCUUAGUAACUUUUUGAGUAUGCUAUCGAUUUAAGGCUAUUAAUAGUGCUUGGAAAGAAGCAUGAGCAUCCACAGCUCCGAACACGGUUGUGAUAGCAAAAGGAAAUUACAUGGCUGGUCCAGUGAAGUUUCAAGCAAAUCGCUGGCUAGCGUUCGAGUUGAAGGACCCCUGCAGGCUCUUGCAGAGCCAGAAAAGCUCAAGUCACAAGAUGGUUGGGUUGUUUUCCAAAAUAUUGAUGGGUUAACAGUCUCAGGAGGUGGCACUUUUGAUGGCCAAGGAUCAAUCGCUUAAUCCAAAAAUGAUUGUGCCAAAACUGGAAAAUGCAACUCACUGCCUAUAUUAAGUUUUUUUAAAUUUGAAGUGCACGUUUUUUUUAUCAAUCUUGUGAGCUAGAAACGGAGGCUAACAAAUAGAAUUUGCUCAAUUGGGUUCCUUGAAUGCAGAACAUAAGAUUCACAGGGCUCACCAAUUCACACUUUCAAGACAUAACAUCUUUGAACAGCAAGCUGUUUCACAUAAACGUCUUAAACUGUAAAAAUGUGACACUUCAACAUGUGAUCAUCACCACCCCUGGUGAAAGUCUAAACACAGAUGGAAUCCACAUAGACGGUUGACAGAGAUUUUCGAACACCUGAAAAAGAGUAUCCAAAAAUCUCAAAUUAAAUUACCUGCAAGCGAGGAGAGCACGUGUGUAAAAUAUUAGGGCGUGGGUUUUUCACGUUCAACUGUCAUCCCCUCAUUGGCCUAACAACGCUCGUUUUCAUCCACGUUCAGCCGUCGUCGCCCUCCUCGACUUGACAAGGCCUAGUCACUUUUCUUCCACGUCGAGUCGCUGCCGUUUCUCUUCCACGUCGAGUCGCUACCGUCACCCCUCUCUUUGAUUCUGGGGUUCUAGCCUCGUUGUUGUCUCUCUCAUAUCCUGGGUGUUGGUUUUGUCGUUCACUUUCUCCUCAGUGGGUUGGCAUUUCUUGUGGUUGUGUUAGUAUGGUGGUUUCAGCGGGUUUGCUACUGCUAUUGUGCCAACAGUCUCCAAGUCAACGACUAUGGUGCAAGCUGCUUCAUUGGGGUCAGCGGUCAUGGUGGAGGUGGCUUUCUUCACGCCUCCUUCGUCGCCCAAUCCGCAAUCUCAAGCCUUACAUUCAUGAGAAGACGACCGUUGUCCAAAGAUUUGGCGUGGGUGGCUACACCUAGGGUUUAUAGUUUUGGUCCUCCUUUUCACGGUGUUGGGCCAGGUUUUUGGAAACUCAGGUUGUUGGGUACCAUCCUUUUACCCAUAUUUCCCCUUUUUUUCAUCCGAUCCGGUUCGGUAUUCCGGUUUUCCGAUCCCGAUGCCCACCCCUACUUCUUAUAGACUAAGAAUACUGUCCAAAUGGCCAAUGCCAAGCGAAAAUCCCGUCGAAAAUUAAGAUAAACAAUGUGAGCUUUAAGAACAUUAGAGCACUUCUGCUGAUCUUGUUGUUAUGAAGCUUGCUUGCAGCAAAGGCAUUCCAUGCCAGAAUGUAUAAAUUAGUGACAUCCAUUUGACAUACAAUGGGAAAAAUGGUGCUGCCACAUCUAUGUGUACUAACGUCAAGCCCACUAUGACAAGCCAAAUUUUUCCACCUGCUUGUGGAAAGACUGCAGUUUAAUUUGGUACUGCUUUAAGGUGAUGAUUAAAAGAAAUUAGUAGGAAAAGAAAAUAAUCUGCAGAACGCCCCUUCAUGCUUAAUUAGAAUGGUGGGUAGUGGUGGACUACACUUAUGCAACAGUAUAGAUGUUAUGUUCUGUAUACAGAUGUUAUGGAUUUAGAUUAUGUACUAUUGUUAUUCAUGGGAAAGCAAUAUAUUAGUAGAGAGAUGUUAAAAAAAGUUUUACUUGAUUGGAAAAGAAAGUGGUUGGAAUAUGAAGCUAUGGAAAUUUUUUUCGAGCCAAAUUUACUCAAUUAGUCUCUUUAUUUAUUUAUUUCUUUAUGAAUGACCACCUCGACCAGUGGCGUGCUAGCCAGGAAGGGGUUGGAUGGUUCAUAUAUUUUUAUGUUUUAUAUGCAAGAAUCGAAGUAAAAAACUUUAAAAGAAGAAAGAUUAUUUGAGUAAACAGUUAAAUUUAAAUAGACCUUUACCAUAAUUUGCAUUUUUUAUGCGCCAAUUAAUCAUUCUUUCUUCUUUGCAAAUGUGGGUUAGGCGAGUGUGUCAAGAAUCGAAAUAACUAUGAGAUUUAAAACAGGUUUUCCGAGUGUGUUUUGGGUUGCCACAAUGAGUGCAUCCACUCACGUUGGUCAAAGCCCAUGGUCGAGGAGGUUGUGUAGUCGGGCGUGAAGGCGAGCCAACAGCCGUGAUAUAGGACUGUAUCUGAAGCGGCACAACGAUAGAGGAAGGCAUCUGGCCGGGCUGACCGGUCGCCGAGGUGUGGCCGACUAGUUGGUGAGUUCCCUUGGCCGCCAAACCAGCCGCAGUCGGCACCUGAGUACCCAUCAUCACAACUUGUAAGAGAUCUUCGCGUCAGACAUAAGCAUAUGCCCACUCCACGGUGGGAAACGAAGCCAUCUGAAGGACAUCACUUCGGGCCUUAUCAAGUCGGUCAUCCAAGCCAUCCAAGAAGAUAUAAACACAGUCUUCUUGGAGAAUGUCGUUGUAAUAAGUUUCAAUCGAGCCACAUGCUUGUCACAACUGUUGACUCUGUCGUUUAAGGUCGUACACCUAAGGGGUGUACGUGCCAUCAAAGUAGAUCGUGGCAAUCGCCGUCAGAAAUCAAAUAAAGGUGCUAAUCAAGCGAGGGUCUGAGUAGGUGUCCCAACUUGUCUUUGCCAUCGACAUACAUCUCGACAACUUCGGACCAAAUGGGGUAGUUGGAGCCAUCCAACUUGAUUCCAAUAUGUGCGGAAGCUUCGGGGUCAACUAUACCAUGCUAAAUAUGAGAACCUAUGAGAACAUAUUGUUUGUGGGAAUUUUCUGUUUAUUCUUCUCCUUGUAAGAGGCCAUAUUUAUAGUACAACAUAUAUAUAUAUACAUUUUCUGUUUAUUCUUCUCCAUGUUAUUAGGAACGUAAUAACUCCUAAUUCUAUUUACAGUAAGAAAUCAUGAAUUAAAGUAAAUCAAUUACAUCUAAUAUAGGAAUUCUUGGCGUAUAAGAAAAGUAAAUGCAGGUCCACAAGUCAUGCGAAUAUAUACAACCAUACUAUUUUUCAAAUUUGUAUCAACUUUCUCACAUGGAAGAUGUCUACCAUUUUUACAAAUAUUAAUGAGUCUCACCAGCUAAAUAAUAUACACGGUAGAAGUUGCACGAAAACAUUGUUUGCAACAAAUUGAUGGCUCUUUCAACGGAAAAACCUAUAGUUAGAGGGGAAAAGAAACAAAAAAGCUUGCCUUGGACAAAAGUAUAUAGUAAUUUGGUUUGAUAAUUUUAGUGGCUCCCAACCGGACAAUAUAUAAAUUGGGUUGAAACGAAAAUGGAGUACAUAAAACUUAACUCACCUUUAAUCAUUCUCAACAUCACGAUUUACUUGAUGCACCAAACAAGGCUCCUUCUGUUCCAUUAUUCGAAACCUCAAACUUGACAUAACCACAAUCAACCCUCAAUAGCAUUCUCUAUCUCCCAAUCAGUUCCACCGAAAAACCGUGCCUCACUAUGACAGGACCCGACCCAAAUUCCACUUUGGAAUCUGAAUCAAACCCUGUGCGUGUUCGACACCUGGCCGGUGCCGAGCACACUUAACCAAAUUGCCCUUCUAACUAAUAUUCACAAUGGGUUAUCUACUAUAGACAUCACUGAACUUGGCCCCUAGUUGCAAUUGGAUCCAUGAACCUUUUUUUUGCGGCAAUUACAUCCGUUAACUCGAUAAAUAGUUCCCACUGUGGUCCUGCCAUUGAACUCUAUCAAUUUGUCUGUUAAAAUGAGGGAUAAAAACGUCCUUUCGAGAAUGGAUUGAACAUAACCACAAUCCAAAAACAAAAUCAGAUGGAAAAAAAAUUCCCAAACAUGACUAGAAAAACGAAACACCUAAAACCCAUAAGAAAAUCAUGAUCUAAUCACAAACACCAACAAAACACAAUUCACAAGCUUCACACACUCGUAAAGUUCUCGGGUUUACUUAAAAACUAUACAUUUGAAGUUCCAAUUGGCUGAAUUUCGCUUCAAAGGUACAAAUUCAGCUGCAUGCACUAAAUGGGUCUUUGAAUUUAUACUCUUUUUGUGUGUUUGGAUAAGUUUGCAAUAAUGGGUUGUUGAAUUUAUGUUGCUCUUUUUGUGUUCACUGCCAGUUUUCCUGGUUUUGCUUUUAGAUAUUAUAACUAGUUUACCUCUUUCAGUGUCUCUGUUUCUUUUGUUGUGUUUUGUUGGUUCUGUUUGUAAAUAUGGAUUCUUGUAAUGUUCGCUGGAGUUCUUACUUCACUCCACUUCCACUGUGUCAUCGAAUUGAAAGAGAAAGCUUGAUUAUUGUUUUUCAGCGAUAAUGUAAAGGUGGAGGUAUACCUGAAUGGACUCUCUACACAGGAUUGGGGAUAACUGUUUGUGUUUGUCCAGUCUCUCCCUCUCUCCUGCAACCCAUUCCCCCUCCUCCUUAGCCCACCCCCUCAAAACUCAGAUCCCAACCCAACCUGCAACCCACCCCCCAUCUCCCAACCCGCAAAACCCAGAACCCACCGAGCUCAGGAUGGCCAGCUCCGUUGUGAUUCUAUUUCUCCAAUUUUCCCCUAAUUCUUUUGAGAUGUUCAUGUCUUGAAAGCUUUCAAAAAUUUCUCCUUUUGUUUGUUGUUUGUUGUUGUUAAUAGAGCCAAGUAAAUCCUAUGUGGUUUCUACCAAUCACAAACUCUUCGAUAUGGAUUUGUAUUGUAAACUUGUGAAGAUGGAGGUGGGGUUGUUAGGGUUGAUGAUGGAUAAAGAAGGUGGAGUUGGGGUCAAUGAUGGAUGAAGAACCCGAAAGGACGCUUUUACCCUCUCACUUUGACAGAUAAAUUAACAGAGUUGGACGGUAUAACCCAAUUGAAACUAUUUAUCUAGUUAACGGAUGUAAUUGCCUCAAAAAAAAGUUCACGGACUCAAUUGCAACUGGAGGCCAAGUUCAGGGACGUCUACAGUAGAUAACCCUAUUCACAAUCUUUUCAAGUUUGACUUUUGCAGAAAAUUCGGCAGUCUCCCUUGUAAAUUGCUCGUUUCCCAAAAAUUUUACCUGUAUAAAACAUGAUUUUAUAAUCCCAAACAUUCAGCAUGCACAAUAAUAGAAUUCAUGCAACCAAUCAUCAAAUUUUUAUGGCAUCGGGCCUCUUUAUACCGAAUAAAUCAUUCUGCUAUCUGUAACUGAUCCCAACUUUUAGAACAACAUGAAUAUGUUAUCAAAUUUCAAAAUAACUUACUGAACAACCUUUCAAUCACUUUAUCUUGUGGCUGCACCUAGUAACUCUAGGUUGCCUACAUACCCUUACCAAGGGAUCAAGCCACACGUAGUUCUUUCACUUAUUAUAUUUACACAUAAUUAGGCUACACAAAGAAUUUCCUCAAAUCCAUGAAUCAAUUUAUAUUUUUCUCACGUAAAUCAUAUGUAAUAACAAACAAACUCAUAAAACGCUUUUAAUUCUUCCUUCAAAGCUCACAGAAAACUCAUGUACACGAAUGAAGAACAAAACCAUUCAUUACUUGCCUCAUAAAAUCAGAAAAGCAGUUAUUAAAACUUUUACCCAAAAAUACCAAGAGAAAAUCCUCAUUUUUUGUUUAAACCUCUUAAAAACCCAAAUAUUCUCCACCUAGGCGUACUCCCAUUCAUAUUCCGUCAAUUCCUUUAAUAUACCGUCAAUUACUAUAAUUUUCCGUCAAUUCCAAUAAUGUACCGUCAAUUCCUUGUGUCACAUAAUGUGACAAAUCCUCUCAAGCCUCGCAAACACAAAGUCAACCUGAGCCGCAAUCCUCGCACCACACGGUUCAAGUGUCCCUGAAACUUGUGGGGCAUUAUCAAAAAUAACAAAGUUGUUUCAAGGCAACUGGGGGGUACCCUCGGGUGGGUUUGAAAACCUUAUACCAAAACUCAUCCUAAAAUUUCUCAUACUCCACAAAUCCAUAUUUCAAAUCUUUUCUUAACUUCCCAAAAAUCAGUACUCAACUACCUUAGAAUUUACACUCCAUACUGUUGAGAACUUGUGUCCAUAACUUAUCUUUUCAAACCACUAUGUGUGUGUGUAUAUAUAUACACACAAUUCACAUAACCAGUCAAUAACGUUCCCCAAAUUCAUAUUAAUAUAUUUUGUCCAAAUACUUCAUCAUAAUAUGCAUCGAAAACUUCUCAAACAUAUAUAUCCAUAUUCAAAACAACCAUGACCCUUAAAAUCAAAAUAGUCAAAAUUCCACUUUUAAAACAAUGUACUUCUCGAAGGGUGAAACUACCUCAGAAGACUCACGGUCAAUUGAGGCUCAAACUUUAUAAAUUGGGUCAACCGGGCCUGCAGGGCCCAUGACCUCCCAUUUUCGAACCAAGAGUUCCUACGGCUUCAACAAGGUUUACUAAACCUGUCAUGCUAGUUUGGUCCGAAUCGAACGGUCGGAUCGCUCACGAUCGGACGGUUAUCCUUUAUCUAAACUUUGAAUUAUUGAAUCGGAGUAUUCAAGACUCCGAUUCUCGAUCCGCAAAUUUCUAUACGAUCCUAGAAGUGCCUAGAUCAACAUAUUCAAAAAUAAAGUCGAUCCCACGGUCCGAACAUAUCGAACCAAGAUUACGCCCAAUAUGCGAUAUCCGAUCGACGACCAACCGAUAACCAAAAUCAUAUCCGAGCAUACCGUCAUGCUCAGGACGACAUGAUGAUUAUUUUAGGACUCAAGGACAGGCCAAAAAGUGAUCCACGGGCCGCCACACGCGCCGGCAGCGCGUGGUUGUCCAAAGCGAUUCAGCAAUCGGAAAAUCUCCAAACCGUCGGUCAAGACUUAUACCUACAUAAUCAGCACAUAGAGUGGAGCAACUUUUGAUCUUGGACCUACCCCAAAAAGUCGACGGAAGUGGCCCGAAUCGGAGGCCGAAAUUCGACCAAACUUUAUUUACGUCUCAAAACACAGAAAUUUCUCCUAACCAACACAACCAACAGCUAGAACACCUCGAGAGGUUGAGAAAGCAUACUUGGAUCGACGGAAAUGGUAGCCGGAAACGUUCAAAAGAGCGUCAGAAAAUUCUCACAGAAACCGGUCAGUUUUCUGGUUUUUUCCGGCCAAAACCGACGGCUGGGGCGGCUGGGCUGGGGCGGGGCUAGAAGAGGAAGAUCUUGCGGUCCUUUUGGGACAAGUACCGCCCCAAGUGGUGGCUCUUGAUGCCACCGACUGGGAAGAAAAAUCCAAGACGGGGGGUGGUUGUUCUGUCGCACGAAAACAGAGAGGAGAGAGAGAGAGAGAGAGAGAGAGAGAGAGAGAGAGAGAGAGCGUGAUAUCAGAUUUUUAAAAUACCUUUUUUCAAAAAAUGUAUGAUUUUGCCACUAUAUUUUUCAUCGUAACUUCUUCGUUACAACUCAGAUUUGAGUCCACUACGUGUCUACGGACUCAUCUCGACGUGCUCUACGUAAAAGUAUAAUUGAAAUCCCCAGAUUCCAUCCCGAACAAAAAGUCAACUUUUAAACCAUUAAAAUAUUUUAAGGGUAAAAUUGUCUUUUAUUUGAAUAAAUUAAUAAUUAAAAAUUGAUUUAGGAUCGGGUUGUUACAUGCUACAUACGAAUUCUAUAGUGAGGGCCUUAUAUCUAAGGCCCUUAGAUGAUCUCUUCGCUGUUAGAUUAAAUUAGUUAGCCAUUGGAUCAAAUUGGUUAGUUUGAUCCAACGGUUAAGAGAUAUGACGUCAUAGCUUUAAUUUGAGCUGCGAAUCCUACCCUGGAAACAUAAUUUGUGCUGCGAUCUGAUUCCAUCAUUAAAUAAAUUGACGGAUAUGAAUAUUUGUCCAUCUGUAAUAGAAAUUACAUUAGUAGGAAUAUAAGACAAAACGUCUCCCGAUUGGGUCUCAACUAUUGGUAAAGCGUGCCUUAGAUAAGGCCCUCACUCACUCCUUAUAAACCCAGGCCAGGUCCCUUAACUUUUCAAUGUGAAUACAAAACGAAUAUCCAAUAGUUAUUUCUCUUGUCACAACUGCUUUGUUACAAAUUAUGGUCAAGAAUUUAUUAGUUUGAUUAGUGCGUUCGGAAACAAUUUUUGGUUUAUGAAAAAUCAAUUUUGUGUAAGUAUUUUUUUUGUUAAUCUUCGCACCAAAUUGGAUUAUAACAGGUUUAGUACUUUUGGUUUAUAAGUCAUCCAUGUCAUAAAUCUUUUCUUUCUAAUCUGACAUAGUCUUGGAAGAAAAAAUCUUUUGCCCAAAUUGGAAACUGAGCGAAGAGCCAUUGUAGGUAAUUCAUGUUCUAAAGCUGAGCAGCUUAAUUAAUUACUAAUUAUAGGAUGGUUGACCUACAUUCAACUUCUUAAUUGGCCAAAUAAAUAUUAACGGUGUUGAGCUUUCCGAUGGGAGUAUAAAUUGGGCUGAAAGCAAUGGAGUUUCAUCAUACUCCAAACAAAAAGGAAAUAACAAAGUCUCAAGAUGGGUUUGAAACUGAAAAAUGUCUUGCCAAUGUUUGUGUUCUUGUUGUUAGCAUCCACAGCUAAAGCUCAAUCUGCUGCCUUAGAUGUGACAAGUGCAAAAUAUGGUGGAAAGCCAGGCUCUGAUAUUACCCAGGUAACAAAAACAUUUGUAUUCAUAUUCGGUUCUGAUUAGAAUUUGUUUCUACAAUUGUUUGCCAAACUAAAUCAUUAACAGUUUUAAAUUUGCGUAAUGUUAAUUAGGCUUUAGAGAAGGCUUGGACAGACGCAUGUGCAUCAACAACACCAAGUAAAAUUGUUGUUCCAAAGGGAAUAUUCAAGUUUGUAGGAACAACUUUUAAAGGUCCUUGCAAGGCUGCUAUUGAGUUUCAGCUCCAAGGAACAUUGCAGGCUCCAGUAGAUGGCAGCCAGCUCCCGAAGGACGACACUUGGAUUGGUUUUGACCACGUCGACGGGCUCACCUUGUCAGGUGGUGGAACUUUUGAUGGCCAAGGAGCACAGUCUUGGAAAAACAAUGAUUGCAACAAAAAUAGAAAAUGCAAAUCUAAACACAUUGUAAGAUGAUUUAAUCCGACCAUGUUGUUUUAUAUACCUGAAAAUCUACCUGUGUCGCAUAGGAACGUUUGCGAAAUCUUGCUCAUUGAUCAAUUCUUGACUUGAUGAUACGUGAUCCAGAUUCACAGCCUGACAAUAUAAACAUAUUUGGGUCUGAUUGGUUUUCUUAAUAUAUGCAGAAUUUGAGGUUCCACGUACUCACCAAUUCCAAAAUUUUGGACGUAACUUCGAAGGAUAGCAAAAAUUUCCACGUCAAUCUUCAGAAGUGCGAGAAGGUUGAAAUCAAUGGAUUUACCGUCUCAGCACCUAAGGAAAGCAUGAACACAGAUGGAAUUCACAUCGGUCGUUCAACUGGGAUCAACAUCACUGACACAACCAUCGGAACUGGGGAUGAUUGUAUUUCGAUCGGUGAUGGUACCAAGGACCUCACCGUGACCAACGUUACUUGCGGGCCAGGCCACGGCAUAGCCAUCGGGAGCCUUGGAAGGUACCCAGAGGAAGAACCUGUGUCCGGCAUCUAUAUUAAGAAAUGCACCUUGACUAAUACAACGAAUGGUGUGAGGAUCAAAACAUGGCCUGCUUCCCCAAAAGAUAGCACUGCCUCGGAUAUUCACUUUGAGGAUAUUACCAUGGUUAAUGUUGGUAACCCUAUCCUCAUUGACCAAGAGUACUGCCCAUGGAACGAAUGCAAAAAAGGGGUAUCUAUCUAUAACAAUUUAUUAACAUCAUAUAUAUGUUCCUUGUUAAUCAAGUCAUCAUUUAUUUAAUCUUUAAAAAGAUUUAAACUAAUCAAUUAAUGAAUGGUUUUGUGUAGGUUCCUUCCAAAGUUAAGAUCAGCAAUGUUAGCUUCAAGAACAUCAAGGGCACAUGUACUGACCCAGUUGCUGUGAAGCUUGCAUGCAGCCCAGGCCUGCCAUGUGAGAAUGUGGAAUUGAGUGACAUUGAUCUCAAGUACACUGGAGACAAAGGUCCUAUUACCUCUGUGUGUUCUAAUGUCAAGCCGACAAUUAAUCGCGUGGCACAGCCUCUUGCUUGCGCUACCGGCGCUGCUGCUGCUUGAUCUAACAAGAACAAACCAUGCUGCUGAUGUUUCUUCAGAGAUGCAUUGGUUGUGUGCUCUUCGAUUUU